rnacentral:lncRNA from 1 species
CUAAAGAUGAUGGGAUAGGACCUACUAAACAGUUAUGGGAGAGGUUUAGGACAAUAAGUAAAUGAAGCUCACCAAGUAUUUUUGGAAUUUCUCCCCUGAAUUGGUUACUAGAAAGGUCAAUCUGCAUCCAAAUGGAUAAUAGUGAUUCAAACUUCAUUUCCAGUCCUUUUGCUGUAACAGAUAAACCAUAAGCAUAAUUCACCCAAAAUAAAUGUGCAUCUUUCAUGAUCUUUACUUCUCUCAUGUAAUUUGGUUCAACUUUCUUUCCAUACUCAUCUCUAAUGGCAUGCAUAUGCUCAAAAAAAAGAGUAGGUAAGUAGCCACUGAAAUUAUUGUGAGAAAGAUCAAUGAUUCGCAAUUUAGUUAAAGAAACUGUAAUAUCAAAGCUCUCUAUUUGGCCGUAAAAUCUAUUCGACCUCAAGAUAAGAACUUGCAGCUGAUCCAAAUUUCCUAACCAACUUGGGAAAGUGUCAUUCAAAUUGUUGUUUCCAACAUCGAGAAGAUUUAAAGCUUUGCAAUUACCCAACGAUCGUGGUAGUGACCCUCCUAAUUCAUUGUUGUUGAUGUGUAAACUUCUCAACAUGCAACCUUUAGCAAAAUUUUCUGGUAUUUGACCAUGAAAAUUAUUAUUCCCUAGAAAAACUGCUGUGAGAGAAGAACUCAAGUUUCCGAUGCACUUUGGAAUUGUUCCCUCCAAAUUAUUCUCAUGUAAAGCCAUAGCCCCAAGGGAAGUCAAAUUGCAUAUUGAAGAAGGGAUUUCUCCAAUUAAGUUAUUAGUUGAAACUGCAUAGAAUUGCAAUAAAGGUGGUGGUGUUGGAAUUCGACCUUAGAGAUAAAAUUGAAAAUGAGAUAGAAUUAGGAGUUUGAAGAUUCUUUGGAAUAAAAAUUAUAAAAUAGCUAUAUUUGAGAUAUGUACACUCAAUACAAAUAAUUGAUUAAUUUACUACACUACUUCUAACCAUUUUAAGAUGCAUCACAACAACUUUUAAGUUGUAAUCUAUUGGAGGAAACUACUACUAUCUUCUAGUGAAAAUUUUAUUUCCCUUACUUAAAAGUAAAAAGGGAUUGCAUAAAUGUAUAAAAAAUAGAAGGAAAAAUAUAUCAAACUAUACCUAAUAGUUUAUUAUAAAAGAGAUAACCAUUUAAUAUCUUACUUAUAUUUCAUUUUUUAGUGUUUAUUAUUAUUUUUUGUACUUUUAUGUAUAUUUUAUAAUUUAUUAUCGGGGUUCACGGUUGUUACUGUCAAGAAUAUCAUCUCUAAGACUUGAAUCUUGUUUUCCCCUUAAGAGAGUAAUAUGUUUUACCACUGCACCGAAUAUUUAUUGGUGUAGUAUUUAUUAUAACUACAAAUAAUUUUAAUUAUCUUUUUAUGAACCUCUAAGUUAGAGGUCAAAUAAAAAAGUAAAUUAAUUGAUGUAGUGUUUAAAUUUUUAUCAUUACAUGUAAAGUUUUAAUUAUUAGUUAUAAAUUUUUUCCUCACAAUUGAAAUUUAAAAACGACAUUUUAUGAAAAUUAAAGAUAACAUAAUUAAUAGAAAAUUGACAUUUUCUUUAGAGCCGGAAUCUAAGUAGUAGCAAUAUCUGUAACUGGUAUUUCAAAUGUACAUUUUAUGUUUAUAAUUUUUAUAAGAUUGGGAGUUAAUUGAGAUUGUAGCCUCAAAAUUAGUGUUAUAUAUGAAAGCCAUUUUUUAUGAGAAUACUUUUCUAUUUAACAAUGAUUGUCCAACAUGUUAUAAUUGAAACCUAUUAUGGAAUUCACUAUUACUAACUCGAAACUCGAGUAGGUUAAAGUUAUUGACCCACAAUCUAAGUAGACUCAAAGGAAUUUGGGUCGGGCUCCACUAAGUGGGCAUAUUAGAGUUCGCACAUCCAAUUCGUACGAAUUUGAGUAUUUUUUAUGAGAAUACUAAUCAAAUAGAAACUUGAGAAAAGAAUAGUAGCCUUUUUAUUCAUGUUUGGCAAAUUAAUAUACUUUGUUUCUCUCAUAAUAUAAAAUAUGUCCUGCGCAUAAAUUAAUUAAACAAAUAAAUAAUAAGGCAAAUCAAAAAGGUAAAUCUACGUCUAAAUUAUAAUUCAUAAUAUAAAUUAAUUAAUGUAAAUUUUAAAAUUUUUUAAAUCAUUAUUAUUAUCAAAUAAAUUCUCUUAAUAAAAUACUUUUAGUGAAAUUAGAAAUCUUACUUAUAAAUAAUAAUAAUAAUAAUAAGAAAUUUUGCUAUGAGCAAAUAGAAAAAUAGUCAAUAUUCUUAAUCAUUUUCAUUAAUUUAAGAGAUUUUGCAUGCUUAUUCUUUUAUGUAUAUAUAUAUCUAUUAUAGAUGUAGAUUAUAAAUUGUAGACAAAUAUUUUGGUUGGGUUAGCAAAGCUGAAAAAGUUGAGAAUAAUAAUUUGUUAAAUUUAUAAAUUUAAGGUGAAAAAUUAAAUCCUAAUAGUUAAAAUAUCUAUAUGUAAUUAAUGAAUAAGAAUUGCAAAGAAUGGCGUAAAAGAAAAAUAAAAUGAAAGAAUUUAAAAUAUAAUUUUUAAUUUUAUAUCACGUGUCGUAUUAUAAUUGAAACCUAUUAUGAAAUUCACUAUUACUACUUGAAAUUCGAGUAGGUUCAAGUUAUUGACCCACAACCCAAGUAGACUUAAAGGAAUUUGGGUCGGGCCACAAAGUGGGCAUAUUGGAGUUUGCACAUCCAAUUCGUAGGUAUGCUAGAGCUCGUGGGCCUAGCUUACAAGACAAGCUUGCACAUUGAGUUCACACGUCUUUAUAUGAUCGCAAGGAGAGGUGCUAAAGUCAAGCACGUGGUCCAUGAACAUGUGUUAAGUCUAGAACAAGAUACGUGUUAACAUGUAUGAAGCUUGUCUAAGACGUCAUUUCAGUGAGUGUGGUGCAGUGAGUUUGGUCAAACUUUCGAUUGACCAUUGUAGGCAAAAAGAGAAAACACUCAACAAUUUGGUGCAGUGAGUAUGGUCAAACUUUCGAUUGACAAUUUUUCAGCUUGUAACAAUCAAAAUAGCUCACCCAAAUGAAAAUUUCCCCAUCAAUGUUUUGUCAGGAUAAGUUGCUAGUAUUAUAUUGUUGCUAGUAUUAUACAAAACAAAAAGUCACAAAAGUGAGAGAAAACCUAGUCAUCAGCACACCAAAACUCAUUAAGUCGAUCAUAGUUGCUGGUAUUAUAUUGUAUCUUCUUACAUCGAGAGAUAAGGUGGGUGAGAAAAGGAGACAAAAGACGGUGAGCUUGGAUGGGACAUUAAGGGGGAAGAGAGGAAAAAAUGUCAUGUGUCUAACUAUUUCUAGUGUUUGAACCGUUUUGAGUCGUAUCUAUCUUUGAACUCAUACCGUCCUAAGCCUUAGAACAUUACAAGCUUAAAAGACCAAUGUAUUUCCUAUUCAAUAAUAUCAACUAUGGCUUAGCAACAACUAAAUCAAGACCUAAACAAUAAGGCAAAUCUAAAAGGUAGAAGGAAUAGCUAAUUAAAAGUAGUGUGUGAUUCAAAAGGUAGAUGGUGAACUUAGGAUGUGGAAUUCCAAUAAAUACCUAAACUUUUGGCAAUUCAAAUAGUUUCUUUAUAAAUAUUUGUAAAUAUUUGAGUCUUAUUUGUAUUAAGAAAUACAUUAUUUGAAAGAGCAUAAUAAUUUUAAGCGGUCUAAUAAUGAAAAUAUUAUAUUAAACUUUAGUAGAGUUUAAUUAUAUAUAUUAUAAGAAUACUCUUCGGUGUAUUUAUCCAUUUAAUUUUAUUUUUUUAUUUUGGUCCCUUGGAACGGUGCGUUUAGGGGGUAUGGGGAUAAUUUCCUAGGUCCCUGUCCAUUUUCACGCAUUUAAUUUUAGUCCUUUAUUCUGUUUUAUUGUUUAAUUUAUUUAUUUUAUUAUGAUUUAUACUUUUAAUUUCACUUAAAUUUCGAUUCACUCCCUUAUUUAUUUAAUUUCAGCCUUUCAUGAAUUUUAUUUAUUUAUUACUUCUUUAUUUUCAUAUACUUAAAAAUUGGAUUGUUUACAUUCUUUUAUUUGUGCAUUUUUUUGCUCAUUUAUUUUAUUUACUUAAAAAGAUUGCAUAAAUUUAAUAACAAAAAAGGAGAAUAAAAGAAAAAUGAAAUUAUACCUGUCAAUUUGUUACUGUCAAGAGAAAGCACUUGAAGAGAAGUCAAGUUUCCAAUAACAAGAGGAAUUUCACCUGAAACAUAUAAUUAAAUCAGUAAAUAUUUGUAAAUAUUUUCCUAGCAAACCCUUAAUUUAUUUGUUGAGCAUAUUAGUGUCUGUUUGAUUUACCUAUUUUUAAAUAUGCAAGUUUUGUUUAGUUUUAUAGUACUUGUGACAACCCAAAAAUAUUUUAAUUAUAAUACUCGAAUUUAUAGUUGAAAUGAUGAUGACAAUUAGAAGGAAUAAAAUAGUUCACGCUUAAUAGUUUUGCUCAAAUAUAGGAUACAUCAUCGAAGCUGAACAAAUAUAUAUAUUUUUAGAAACUUUUAUUAGUUAGCAGCGAUUAGCUAAUAUCAAACAACUGAUAGUAUUGCAUACAAUAUGUUUCCCUAAACUGUAUGCUAUUUAGCUCUCGCCACAAAUGAUCAAAAACACAUGUGCAUUUUAAUGUAAAAUUUAACUCUUUUCUUAUCACCAAAUAAAUUUACUUUCAGAGAAAUUACAAGUUUUAAUAAAAUAGUUGAAAUAAGUGAUUGUUUAUGACUAGGUGAAAAUUAGAUGAAAAAAACAUAUAAUUAAUAAUUUAUAUAUCUAUUUCUCUCAUACUAUGGACUAUGGUCGAGCAAAAAUUAAUAAAAAAAUCAAACGGAUAGAAAUAGCUUAGUUACAAGAUUGAUGUUAAUCCAAUAAAUUUUUAAAAAAAAACACAUUGUUUCCAAAAGGGUAAGAAAUAGGUCCAAAUUAUAAUUCAGAACAUAAAUUAAUUUAAUGUAAAAUUUAAAUAAAAUUUAAAAUUCCUUCAUUAUCAAAUAAAUUUUCUUAAUAAAAUACUUUUAGUGAAUUAAUUAGAAGUCUUACUUAUUAACAAUAAAAAAAAUAUUUAUCCUUGUGCCAGAAAAAAACACCGCAUAGAUCAUAAAAAGGAAAAACUAAAACAUCCAUAAAACCACUAAACACAAAAUUCAUAGUUGUAGAGGAGGAUUAGAUACAUUGGUCCCAUAAUAUGUCACUCAAAAUCUCAAAUUCAUCCAACAAAAAGAAAUCAUCACUUUAGUUAAUUAAAUCAAGAACAAAUAAAGUUAUGGAUGAACAAAUAUGGGAAGCAAAGAAAUGUGACGGAUCAAAAGGGACGAAUAAGCUAAUUUCUGCCAUAAGGUAGAUGGUGAACUUAGGAUGUGGAGUUCCAAUAAAUACCUAAACAUACCUAAACUUUUGGCCAUUCAAAUAGAUUAGACUAAUUUUUAAUUACUUAAAAAUAUUGCAUAAAUUUAAUAACAAAAAGGAGAAUAAAAGAAACAUGAAAUUAUACCUGUCAAUCUGUUAUUGAAAAGAUAAAGCAUCUGAAGAGAAGCCAAGUUUCCAAUAACAAGAGGAAUUUCACCUGAAAUGUAUAAUUAAAUCAGUAAAUAUUUGUAAAUAUUUUCCUAGCAAACCUUUAAUUUAUUUGUUGAGCAUAUUAGUGUCGGUUGAUUUACCUAUUUUAAUUAUGACAACCCAAAAAUAUUUUAAUUAUAAUACUUGAAUUUAUAGUUGAAAUGAUGAUGACAAUUAGAAGGAAUAAAAUAGUUCACGCUUAAUAGUUUUGCUCAAAUAUAGGAUACAUCAUCGAAGCUGAACAAAUAUAUAUAUUUUUAGAAACUUUUAUUAGUUAGCAGCGAUUAGCUAAUAUCAAACAACUGAUAGUAUUGCAUACAAUAUGUUUCCCUAAACUGUAUGCUAUUUAUCUCUCGCCACAAAUGAUCAAAAACACAUGUGCAUUUUAAGCCAAACAUUUAUAAUAGUGAUAAGAGCCGUAUUGAUACAAUUUUUUGCUAAGGAAUCAGCAAACACACACACAUAUCUGCACAUAUAGACACACAUAUAUCUGUACAUACAGACUACUAGGAAUCCAAAAAUGUCGCCAGACCCUAGAUAUAGUCUAGGUGAAAAGGGACUAAGGGGUUGAACAGUAAAGAAACCAGUAAGAACUCACAUGAUAAUGAGCUUGUUGUAACCAGAAUACAAAGAUUGGGGCAGAGUCAAGUUUCCAAUUUCUAUAGGCAUAAUUCCCUCCAAAGAGUUGUUACGCAAUAAUUAAUACUUGAACCCUUUACACUUGAAUAAGCUAUUUGAAAUUCUACUGAAAUUUGAUUAUGUGUGAAGCUUAAUUAUUGCAAUUUAGAAAUGUUAUCAAACAUCUAGAUAGUAGAUGACCUAUAAUGAGAUGAUUAGUUUUGAAACUAUUUUUUUAUUGGUGAAAAGAUAUAUAAGAUUUACACAUGUAAGGAGCCUGAAUAAGAAUUAUUAUGAAAAUAUAACUAAAUGAAGCUUGAAAAAUUCCUUGCUAUUAUAGGAAUCUGCCAUUCUAAAUCAUUGUUAUAUAAUAUCAACUGUUAUAAGAUAUGAUAUUAUACUUGUUAUGUUGUUAUUAGAAAGAUUUAUGAUCUCAAGAGUAGUCAAAUUGUUAAUAGCCGAAAGGCUUUCACCUAAAACAUAUAAUCAAAUUUGUCAAAAUAGCUUGAUGAUAGAACCCAUGCACUUUAUUUGUUUCUGUAAUUAGAGAGAGAAGUCAUGUACUCUGUUUCUCUUAUAUUAAACUUAUGGCUGAAAACAGUUUGAGAUUGUUUUCUCAAAAAUACUUACUUAUAUUCUUUGACUUAUCUUUAGAUUGUGUUUAUUGUUAUCCCCUUCUUCACUAAUACUCAUCAUCAUCAUCUUUCUUGAUAAGCCAAUCUCUAAGUUUUGAAAUAUAUAAAACAAACAACGGUGACCAUUAAUAUAUCGCCCAAAAUCUCAAAAUCAUUUAACACAAAGAAAAUCGAUUAAUUUAAGCUGAGAACAAACAACAAUUGAGGGUGAACCCAAAGACAAAUGAUGGAUGAAAAGCCAAGAUGAAGAAGCCAAUUUCUACCAUAAGGUUUUGUUUGGGUAUAAGGCAAAUCAUAAGGAGAGGAAUAACUGAAUUUAAUAAAUUUUAAUCAUUCUUCAGUAUCUUUAAAAUUUUCAUUCCAAGGAUGUAGGUGCAACAUCCCUUGAUUAUAAUGUAAAAUUUCAAAUUUCCAUAGGGAUACUUGCACCCAAAGAGUUGUUAUAGAAUGAUAAAAAUGUUAACUCAUUGCACUUGAUUAAACUAUUUGGAAUUCUACCCGAAAUCUUAUCGCCUCUCAACUUUAAGACUUGCAGUUUAGAUAGGUUAUCAAAUAUUUCUAACGGUAGAUGACCUACAACGAUAAUAUUAUUACCUAGUUUUGACAUUUCUAGUUUUGAGAAAUUGCUUAGCGUAGAUAGGGAUAACACCAGUGAAGUUGUUACUAUACAAAUACAAGCUUUUAAGUUUUAGAAAUUAUUGUUGCCAAAGUUGAAAUAUUCUAACUGAUGCAAACUAGUGUACUCAAUGGGUAAACAAACAUAGAAACUAUUGUUACAAAUGUUGAGUUUGGCAAGGAAAGAAGAUUUCCAGUUGAGAUGGUAUGGUGUUUGUGAAAUCCAUACCUAAUGCAUCAAGAGUUGUGAUGUUUGAAUUUAUAAGUAAAAGUAAUCUAUGAGAUUUUAGUGCUACAAGGUUGAUUUGAUUAACGGUGAAAUUAGGUAGGGGAUAAGGCUAUUCAGAGAGGAGGGAAAUAGUUGAGUGUAAUACUUAUAUAAUGUUCAAAAUUCUACAAAUACUUUGAUUCUAUGGAUUAAGGCAUAGAACCUGACCAUUUGAGAAAGAAUUAGCCACAAUUAUUGGGCUACAACCCGAAAACAGGGACAGCCUUAACAUACCCACAACUAAUGUUCAAUAUUAUAAAUACAAAAAAAAAAUAGUCGAAGUAUUAAAUAUAUAAUUGAUUGGAGAGAAGUCAAAAGCUAAUUAAUAAUAUAUAGGGAUUGCAUAAAUGUAACAACAAAAAGAAAAAAAAUGAUAUUAUACCUGAUAAGUUAUUAUAAGCAAGAUCAAUAACUUCGAGAGUGGUCAAGUUUCCAAUAGUUGAUGGGAUUUUACCUAAAAAUAUAAAGAAAUUGGUUAAAAUAGUUUAUAGUAUGCUAUUAUUUAUUUUAUAUUAUAUGUAUAUAUUGCAUGGAAAACAAAUAUAAAUACUUAUAAUAAAUAUAUAUUUGUUGUUAAAAUGAAAAUUACUAAGUUGUCUUUGUUUAGAAAUUUAAUAAAUAAUUUUUUUAAAAUUACUAAAUAUUAAAAAAGAAUAUGAAAAGAAUAAGGUAAAAAGAUUUAUCUGGUUCCUCUCGAUUUCGAAAUUGAAUAAAUUAGUCUCCUUAAAAAAAUUGAAACAAUUUAAUCUUUGUCUAUCUUGAAAGUUAGCAAUGAAGGAAAUUAAUCAUGACGUUAAUUUAUUUUGUCAAUUGUGUAUGAUUUUUUAUUAGUAUAAUAAUAAAUUUAACUCUCAAUGUUUACAUAUUUUGUUAACUUGAUCUUGAUUCUAAAAAAAUUCAAUAAAUUUUGGCUCAACAUUUACAAAAAUAUUGCUGGUUAAAUUUAUUAAAUCAUGACCAAAUUGAUAUAACAUGUACAUUAUGAAAAAUAUUAACGAUGUGAUUAAAUAUUUUUAAUUGCUUCCUUUCGAAAUUGAUAGAGAUUAAUUAGAUACAUUGGUCCCAUAAUAUGUCACUCAAAAUCUCAAAAUCAUCCAACAAAAAGACAUCAUCAUUUAUAUAUUCUAUUUUAAAGAAGUUAUUGGAAAGAAUAAUGUACUUGAGAGAAAUAAGAUUUCUAAAAAUAGAUGAAAAAACAUAUAAUUAAUAAUUUUUAUAUAUUCUAUUUUGAUGAAAAAAUAGUCUGUAUUUUUAAUUACUUAAAAAUAUUGCAUAAAUUUAAUAACAAAAUGGAGAAUAAAAGAAACAUGAAAUUAUGCCUCUCAAUUUGUUAUUGUUAAGAGAAAGUAUUUGGAGAGAAGUCAAGUUUCCAAUAACAAGAGGAAUUUCACUUGAAACAUAUAAUUAAAUCAAUAAAUAUAUAAUUAUUUUUAUUAAUUACUUUAAGAGUUUAAUAAGGCAAAUCUAAAAGGUAGAAGAAAUAGCUAAUUAGAAGUUGUGCGUGAUUCAAAAGGGUAUAAAGUAGGUCCAAAUUAAAAAUCAAAUCUUAAUAUAUUUUAAUGUAAAAUUUAACUCUUUUCUUAUCACCAAAUAAAUUUACUUUCAGAGAAAUUACAAGUUUUAAUAAAAUAGUUGAAAUAAGUGAUUGUUUAUGAGUAGGUGAAAAUUAGAUGAAAAAAACAUAUAAUUAAUAAUUUAUAUAUCUAUUUCUCUCAUACUAUGGACUAUGGCGGAGCAAAAAUUAAUAAAAAAAUCAAACGGAUAGAAAUAACUUAGUUACAAGCUUGAUGUUAAUUCAAUAAAUUUUUAAAAAAAAACACACACAUUGUUUUCCAAAGGAGAAUAACAAAAAAUAUUUAAAAAUAUUGCAUAAAUUUAAUAACAAAAAGGAGAAUAAAAGAAACAUGAAAUUAUACCUGUCAAUUUGUUAUAGGCAAGAUAAAGCUCUCGAAGAGAAGUCAAGUUUCCAAUAACAAGAGGAAUUUCACCUGAAACAUAUAAUUAAAUCAAUCAAAAUUUGCAAAUAUUUUCCUAGCAAACCCUUAAUUUAUUUGUUGAGCGUAUUAGUGUCUGUUUGAUUUACCUAUUUUUAAAUAUGCAAGUUUUGUUUAGUUUUAUAGUACUUGUGACAACCCAAAAAUAUUUUAAUUAUAAUACUCGAAUUUAUAGUUGAAAUGAUGAUGACAAUUAGAAGGAAUAAAAUAGUUCACGCUUAAUAGUUUUGCUCAAAUAUAGGAUACAUCAUCGAAGCUGAACAAAUAUAUAUAUUUUUAGAAACUUUUAUUAGUUAGCAGCGAUUAGCUAAUAUCAAACAACUGAUAGUAUUGCAUACAAUAUGUUUCCCUAAACUGUAUGCUAUUUAUCUCUCGCCACAAAUGAUCAAAAACACGUGAAUUUUAAGCCAAACAUUUAUAAUAGUGAUAAGAGCCGUAUUGAUACAAUUUUUUGCUAAGGAAUCAGCAAACACACACACAUAUCUGCACAUAUAGACACACAUAUAUCUGUACAUACAGACUACUAGGAAUCCAAAAAUGUCGCCAGACCCUAGAUAUAGUCUAGGUGAAAAGGGACUAAGGAGUUGAACAGUAAAGAAACUAGUAAGAACUCACAUGAUAAUGAGCUUGUUGUAACCAGAAUACAAAGAUUGGGGCAGAGUCAAGUUUCCAAUUUCUAUAGGCAUAAUUCCCUCCAAAGAGUUGUUAUGCAACGAUAAAUACUUCAACUCUUUACACUUGAAUAAGCUAUUUGAAAUUCUACUAAAAUUUGAUUAUGUGUGAAGCUUAAUAAUUGCAAUUUAGAAAUGUUAUCAAACAUCUAGAUAGUAGAUGACCUAUAAUGAGAUGAUUAGUUUUGAAACUAUUUUUUUAUUGGUGAAAAGAUAUAUAAGAUUUACACAUGUAAGGAGCCUGAAUAAGAAUUAUUAUGAAAAUAUAACUAAAUGAAGCUUGAAAAAUUCCUUGCUAUUAUAGGAAUCUGCCAUUCUAAAUCAUUGUUAUAUAAUAUCAACUGUUAUAAGAUAUGAUAUUAUACUUGUUAUGUUGUUAUUAGAAAGAUUUAUGAUCUCAAGAGUAGUCAAAUUGUUAAUAGCCGAAAGGCUUUCACCUAAAACAUAUAAUCAAAUUUGUCAAAAUAGCUUGAUGAUAGAACCCAUGCACUUUAUUUUUUUCUGUAAUUAGAGAGAGAAGUCAUGUACUCUGUUUCUCUUAAUUAUAUUAAACUUAUGGCUGAAAACAGUUUUAGAUUGUUUUCUCAAAAAUACUUACUUAUAUUCUUUGACUUAUCUUUAGAUUAUGUUUAUUGUUAUCCCCUUCUUCACUAAUACUCAUCAUCAUCAUCUUUCUUGAUAAGCCAAUCUCUAAGUUUUGAAAUAUAUAAAACAAACAACGGUGACCAUUAAUAUAUCACCCAAAAUCUCAAAAUCAUUUAACACAAAGAAAAUCAUUACUUUGAUUAAUUUUAGCAGAGAACAAACAAUAAUUGUGGGUGAACCCAAAGAAAAAUGAUGGAUCAAAAGCCAAGAUGAAGAAGCCAAUUUCUACCAUAAGGUUUUGUGUGUGUAUAAGGCAAAUCAUAAGGAAAGGAAUAACUGAAUUUAAUAAAUUUUAAUCAUUCUUCAAUAUCUUUAAAAUUUUCAUUCCAAGGAUGUAGGCACUAACAUCCCUUGAUUAUAAUGUAAAAUUUCCAAUUUCCAUAGGGAUACUUCCACCCAAAGAGUUGUUAUAGAAUGAUAAAAAUGUUAACUCUUUGCACUUGAUUAAACUAUUUGGAAUUCUACGUACCCGAAAUCUUAUCGCCUCUCAACUUUAAGACUUGCAAUUUAGAUAGGUUAUCAAAAAUUUCUAACGGUAGAUGACCUACAACGAUAAUAUUGUUACCUAGUUUUGACAUUUCUAGUUUUGAGAAAUUGCUUAGGGUAGAUAGGGAUAACACCAGUGAAGUUGUUACUAUACAAAUACAAGCUUUUAAGUUUUAGAAAUUAUUGUUGCCAAAGUUGAAAUAUUCUAACUGAUGCAAACUAGUGUACUCAAUGGGUAAACAAACAUAGAAACUAUUGUUACAAAUGUUGAGUUUGGCAAGGAAAGAAGAUUUCCAGUUGAGAUGGUAUGGUGUUUGUGAAAUCCAUACCUAAUGCAUCAAGAGUUGUGAUGUUUGAAUUUAUAAGUAAAAGUAAUCUAUGAGAUUUUAGUGCUACAAGGUUGAUUUGAUUAAAGGUGAAAUUAGGUAGGGGAUAAGGCUAUUCAGAGAGGAGGGAAAUAGUUGAGUGUAAUACUUAUAUAAUGUUCAAAAUUCUACAAAUACUUUGAUUCUAUGGAUUAAGGCAUAGAACCUGACCAUUUGAGAAAGAAUUAGCCACAAUUAUUGGGCUACAACCCCAAAACAGGGAACGCCUUAACAUACCCACAACUAAUGUUCAAUAUUCUAUAAAUACAAAAAAAAAAAAACUCCAAUCUUCUUUUAUAAGUAAAAGACGGUGAUAGUCUCCAAGAGAAAGAGACAAGUAAGGAGGGUGAAGGCAAAGUGGCAAACAAUACAUUCAUUACAUAUUUAUUUUUGCAUAUCUCGUUUUAUUUACUCUUACUAGACAUUUUUUUAUAUAUAUAAAUUAUUAAAUAUUAAAUUUCAUAUAUAUAAAAAAAAUCCACAUAUUACUUAUUUUAUUAAUACAUAAACAUUUUUGCUAUACACAUGAAUGAGUGUAUAAAAUGAAUGAUUAGUAGAGUUUAAUUAUAUAUAUAAAUAUUAUAUUUUAAUAUUUAAUAAAAUUACAUCUUUUAAUUCAAAAAGAUAUUUUAAUAAUCAUUUUUAUUAGUUUUCGAGUUCAGGAUUAUAUAUAUAAUAUAUAUGUUGAGCUAGAACUACUACAAAAAGUUGACAUUUUUUAAAAGUAUGAUAAUUUGAAUAGAAGUAACAUAUGCUAAUGUGGAGUAAUUGUUCCAUAUAAUCCUUUUUAUGAUGAAAUCAUUGCUUAAUUUACUUCAUAACUUCUUACAUUUAGACAUAAUAAUCAGGUUUUAAUCUUUUAAGGUAACUUUUAUUUUAUUUACUUAAAAAAUUGCAUAAAUUUAAUUAAAAAAAAAAGAGAAUAAAAGAAACAUGAAAUUAUACCUGUCAAUUUGUUAUGGCUAAGAUAAAGAAAUUGGAGAGAAGUCAAGUUUCCAAUAACAAUAGGAAUUUCACCUGAAACGUAUAAUUAAAUCAUCACUUUAGUUAAUUAAAGCAAGAACAAAUAAAGUUUUGGAUGAACAAAUAUGAGAAGCAAAGAAAAAUGAUGGAUCAAAAGUGACGAAUAAGCUAAUUUCUGCCAUAAGGUAGAUGAUGAACUUAGGAUGUGGAAUUCCAAUAAAUUCCUAAACAUACCUAAACUUUUGGCAAUUCAAAAUCAAAUUCUAGUGGUAAAAAUUAUGAAAUGAGUAAUUAUUAUUUUUACAGCAAAAAAUGUGAGUAUAUAAAGAAAAAUAAAAAUAAAAAUGUAGAGCAAUAUAAAAAGAAGUUUUAAGGUAAGUAGGUUUGUUAUUUUUAAGAAUAAUAGUAAAGCAGGACAUUUGGUUUUGCUUAUUUAAGAAGUUGGUUCAUGCAUAGGGAUGUCAUAUUACCCAUGUUUGCAUUUAAAUAUUUGUAUUAAGAAAUAUAUUAUUUGAAAGAGUUUAAUAAUUUUAAGCUGUCUAAUAAUAAAUAAAUUAGUCUAAGAAAAAAUAAUGCAUCUUAUACCAAUAUUCUUAUAUUUGUCUAAUUUCAAAGUAGUUAAAGGAUUAAAUGUGUAAUUACUUGUAUUUUUAAAACGACAGUUAUUUUUAUUUAUAUACUUUCGGAGAAAUUAGAAGUUUUAAUAAAAUAGUUGAAAUAAGUGAUUGUUUAUGACUAGGUGAAAAUUAGAUGAAAAAAACAUAUAAUUAAUAAUUUAUAUAUCUAUUUCUCUCAUACUAUGGACUAUGGUCGAGCAAAAAUUAAUAAAAAAAUCAAACGGAUAGAAAUAGCUUAGUUACAAGAUUGAUGUUAAUCCAAUAAAUUUUAAAAAAAAAACACAUUGUUUCCAAAAGGGUAAGAAAUAGGUCCAAAUUAUAAUUCAGAACAUAAAUUAAUUUAAUGUAAAAUUUAAAUAAAAUUUAAAAUUCUUUCAUUAUCAAAUAAAUUUUCUUAAUAAAAUACUUUUAGUGAAUUAAUUAGAAGUCUUACUUAUUAACAAUAAAAAAAAUAUUUAUCCUUGUGCCAGAAAAAAACACCGCAUAGAUCAUAAAAAGGAAAAACUAAAACAUCCAUAAAACCACUAAACACAAAAUUCAUAGUUGUAGAGGAGGAUUAGAUACAUUGGUCCCAUAAUAUGUCACUCAAAAUUUCAAAUUCAUCCAACAAAAAGAAAUCAUCACUUUAGUUAAUUAAAUCAAGAACAAAUAAAGUUAUGGAUGAACAAAUAUGGGAAGCAAAGAAAUGUGACGGAUCAAAAGGGACGAAUAAGCUAAUUUCUGCCAUAAGGUAGAUGGUGAACUUAGGAUGUGGAGUUCCAAUAAAUACCUAAACAUACCUAAACUUUUGGCCAUUCAAAUAGAUUAGACUAAUUUUUAAUUACUUAAAAAUAUUGCAUAAAUUUAAUAACAAAAUGGAGAAUAAAAGAAACAUGAAAUUAUACCUGUCAAUUUGUUAUUGUUAAGAUAAAGCUCUCGAAGAGAAGUCAAGUUUCCAAUAACAAGAGGAAUUUCACCUGAAACGUAUAAUUAAAUCGGUCAAAAUUAUGGAUCAAAAGGGACAAAUAAGCUAAUUUCUGCCAUAAGAUAAAUGGUAACUUAGGAUGUGGAGUUCCAAUAAAUACCUAAACUUUUGGCAAUUCAAAUAGAUUAUACUAAUUUUUAAUUACUUAAAAAUAUUGCAUAAAUUUAAUAACAAAUUAGAGAAUAAAAGAAACAUGAAAUUAUACCUGUCAAAUUGUUAUUGCUAAGAUAAAGAAAUUGGAGAGAAGUCAAGUUUCCAAUAACAAGAGGAAUUUCACCUGAAACGUAUAAUUAAAUCAUCACUUUAGUUAAUUAAAGCAAGAACAAAUAAAGUUUUGGAUGAACAAAUAUGAGAAGCAAAGAAAAAUGAUGGAUCAAAAGUGACGAAUAAGCUAAUUUCUGCCAUAAGGUAGAUGAUGAACUUAGGAUGUGGAAUUCCAAUAAAUUCCUAAACAUACCUAAACUUUUGGCCAUUCAAAAUCAAAUUCUAGUGGUUAAAAUUAUGAAAUGAGUAAUUAUUAUUUUUACAGCAAAAAAUGUGAGUAUAUAAAGAAAAAUAAAAAUAAAAAUGUAGAGCAAUAUAAAAAGAAGUUUUAAGGUAAGUAGGUUUGUUAUUUUUAAGAAUAAUAGUAAAGCAGGACAUUUGGUUUUGCUUAUAUAAGAAGUUGGUUCAUGCAUAGGGAUGUCAUAUUACCCAUGUUUGCAUUUAAAUAUUUGUAUUAAGAAAUAUUUUAUUUGAAAGAGUUUAAUAAUUUUAAGCUGUCUAAUAAUAAAUAAAUUAGUCUAAGAAAAAAUAAAGCAUCUCAAAAUAUAUGUCUUAUACCAAUAUUCUUAUAGUUGUCUAAUUUCAAAGUAGUUAAAGGAUUAAACGUGUAAUUAAUUGUAUUUUUAAAACGACAGUUAUUUUAUUUUCUAUAUUUGUUUAUUUUUUAUUUUUUUAAAUAUAUAUUUAAACUUUGCAAAAUGAAUGGAUAUAUUUGAACAUGAAACAUGAUACAAUAAUUUAGUGAGAAUGAAAUAAAAUAAUGGUGGAAAAAUGAUAUGAUGACAUUAAACGGAAAAUAAGCGAAUGAAUAAAUAAGUAAAUAAAGGAGAAUAAGAAGAUAAAGACCAAAAACAAUUGCUAUGCUAAUGAAUAAUAUCAAUAUUUCUAUGAUGAUAACAAAACAACGAUUAAACGAUUAAACAAUAGCUAAUUAGAAGUAGUGUGUGAUUCAAAAGGGUAUAAAGUAGGUCCAAAUUAAAAAUCAAAUCUUAAAAUAAUUUAAUGUAAGAAAUUAGAAGUUUUAAUAAAAUACUUGAAAUAACUGAUUGUUUAUGACUAGGUGAAAAUUUGAUGAAAAAACAUAUAAUUAAUAAUUUAUAUAUCUAUUUCUCUCAUACUAUGGACUAUGGUCGAGCAAAAAUUAAUAAAAAAAUCAAACGGAUAGAAAUAGCUUAGUUACAAGAUUGAUGUUAAUUCAAUAAAUUUUUUAAAAAAACACAUUGUUUCCAAAAGGGUAAGAAAUAGGUCCAAAUUAUAAUUCAGAACAUAAAUUAAUUUAAUGUAAAAUUUAAAUAAAAUUUAAAAUUUUUGUUAUUAUCAAAUAAUUUUUCUUAAUAAAAUACUUUUAGUGAAAUUAGAAGUCUCACUUAUAAAUGGUAAUUUUUAUUAACAAUAAAAAAAUAUUUAUCUUUGUGCCAGAAAAAAACACCGCAUAGAUCAUAAAAAGGAAAAACUAAAACAUCCAAAAGAAAAUAUAUGUAAAACACUAAACACAAAAUUCAUAGUUGUAGAGGAGGAUUAGAUACAUUGGUCCCAUAAUGAAGAAAUCAUCACUUCAUUUAAUUAAAGCAAGAACAAAUGAAGCUAUGGAUGAACAAAUAUGGGAACCAAACAAAAAUGAUGGAUCAAAAGGGGCCAAUAAGUUAAUCAAUCAUUUUUAUUAGUUUUCAAGUUGAGGUUUAUAUAUAUAAUAUAUAUGUCAAGUUAGAAAUACUACAAAAGGUUGACAAUUUUUAAAAGUAUGAUAAUUUGAAUAGAAGUAACAUAUGCUAAUGUGGAGUAAUUGUUCCAUAUAAUCCUUUUUAUGAUGAAAUCAUUGCUUAAUUUACUUCAUAACUUCUUACAUUUAGACAUAAUAAUGAGGUUUUAAUCUUUUAAGGCAACUUUUAUUUUAUUUACUUAAAAAAUUGCAUAAAUUUAAUAAAAAAAUGAGAAUAAAAGAAACAUGAAAUUAUACCUGUCAAUUUGUUAUUGAAAAGGUAAAGCUCUCGAAGAGAAGUCAAGUUUCCAAUAACAAGAGGAAUUUCGCCUGAAACGUAUAAUUAAAUCAGUCAAAAUUUGCAAAUAUUUUCCUAGCAAACCCUUAAUUUAUUUGUUGAGCAUAUUAGUGUAUGUUGAUUUACCUAUUUUUAAAUAUGCAAGUUUGGUUUAGUUUUAUAGUACUUAUGAGAACCCAAAAAUAUUUUAAUUAUAAUACUCGAAUUUAUAGUUGAAAUGAUGAUGGCAAUUAGAAGGAAUAAAAUAGUUCACGCUUAAUAGUUUUGCUCAAAUAUAGGAUACAUCAUCGAAGCUGAACAAAUAUAUAUAUUUUUAGAAACUUUUAUUAGUUAGCAGUGACUAGCUAAUGUCAAACAACUGAUAUAUCUGCACAUAUAAUUAGCAUUAAUCUUAUAAACUUUUAUUAGUUAGCAGUGACUAGCUAACUUAGAAACUUUUGUUGUAUAUUAUUAGUUUGCAUACAAUAUGUUUCCCUAAACUGUAUGCUAUUUAUCUCUCGCCACAAAUUAUCAAAAACACGUGCAUUUUAAGCCAAACAUUUAUAAUAGUGAUAAGAGCCGUAUUGAUACAAUUUUUUGCUAAGGAAUCAGCAAACACACACAUAUCUGCACAUAUAGACACUCAUAUAUCUGCACUUAUAGACUACUAGGAAACCAAAAAUGUCGCUAGACCCCAGAUAUACUCUAGGUGAAAAGGGACUAAGGAGUUGAACAGUAAAGAAACUAGUAAGAACUCACAUGAUAAUGAGCUUGUUGUAACCAGAAUACAAAGAUUGGGGCAGAGUCAAGUUUCCAAUUUCUAUAGACAUAAUUCCCUCCAAAGAGUUGUUAUGCAAUGAUAAAUACUUCAACUCUUUACACUUGAAUAAGCUAUUUGAAAUUCUACUAAAAUUUGAUUAUGUGUGAAGCUUAAUAAUUGCAAUUUAGAAAUGUUAUCAAACAUCUAGAUAGUAGAUGACCUAUAAUGAGAUGAUUAGUUUUGAAACUAUUUUUUUAUUGGUGAAAAGAUAUAUAAGAUUUAUACAUGUAAGGAACCUGAAUAAGAAUUAUUAUGAAAAUAUAACCAAAUAAAGCUUGAAAAAUUCCUAGCUAUUAUAGCCAAACAUAAACGGAGGGAGGAAGACGGUGAUAGUCUCCAAGAGAAAGAGACAAGCAAGGAGGGUGAAGGCAAAGUGGCAAACAAUACAUUCAUUACAUAUUUAUUGUUGCAUAUCUCAUUUUAUUUACUGUCACUAGACACUUUUUAUAUAUAUAAAUUAUUAAAUAUUAAAUUUCAUAUAUAAAAAAAAUCCACAUAUUACUUAUUUUAUUAAUACAUAAAAGUAAACCGUUUAGAUGAUUUCAAGUUAAAAAAACAAUAUAUUUUAGAUUUUAUGUGGAUUUUUUUAAGUUCAAUAUUCAAAUUAUUCAGAUUUUCAUCAUCAAAGUUGAAUAGUUUGUAAUUCAAAUUAUUGCUCUCUUUUUACUUGUACCAAUAUUUCCUAUAUUUUUCUUAUGUUAAAAUAGUCAAAGUAUUAAAUAUAUAAUUAAUUGGAGAGAAGUCAAAAGCUAAUUAAUAAUAUAUAGGGAUUGCAUAAAUGUAACAACAAAAACAAAAAAAAAAUCAAAGCUACUUCAUGGUUGUAUUUUGUGAGGCUGAGGAAGUUGAAAGAGUAAUAAUUUUAAGCUGUCUAAUGAAAAUAUUAAACUAAAACUUUAGUAGAGUUUAAUUAUAUAUAUUAUAUUUUAAUUUUUUAAUAAAAGUACAUAUUUUAAAUCAAAAAUAUUUUAAUCAAAUCAUCUGUAUUAGUUUUGAAGUUCAGGCUUAUAUAUAUAACAUAUAUAUUGAUUGAGUGUAUAACUUCAACUUCAAAAAGAUAUUUUAAUCAAUCAAUUUUAUUAGUUUUCGAGUUUAGGCUUAUAUAUAUAAUAUAUAUGUCGAGUUAGAAAUACUACAAAAGGUUGACAUUUUUUAAAAGUAUGAUAAUUUGAAUAGAAGUAACAUAUGCUAAUGUAGAGUAAUUGUUCCAUAUAAUCCUUUUUAUGAUGAAAUGAUUGCUUCAUAACUUCUUACACUUAGACGUAAUAAUGAGGUUUUAAUCUUUUAAGGUAACUUUUAUUUUAUUUACUUAAAAAAUUGCAUAAAUUUAAUAAAAAAAAGGAGAAUAAAAGAAACAUGAAAUUAUACCUGUCAAUUUGUUAUUGCUAAGAUGAAGAAAUUGGAGAGAAGUCAAGUUUUCAAUAACAAGAGGAAUUUCACCUGAAACGUAUAAUUAAAUCGGUCAAAAUUUGCAAAUAUUUUCCUACCAAACCCUUAAUUUAUUUGUUGAGCAUAUUAACGUUUGUUUCAUUUACCUAUUUUUAAAUAUGCAAGUUUAGUUUAGUCUUAUAGUACUUAUGAUAACCCAAAAAUAUUUUAAUUAUAAUACUCAAAUUAACAAUAAAAUUAAAAAAAAUAUUUAUCUUUGUGCUAGAAAAAAAACACCGCAUAGAUCAUAAAAAGGAAAAACUAAAACAUCCAAAAGAAUAUGUCAAACACUAAACACAAAAUUCAUAGUUGUAGAGGAGAAUUAGAUACAUUGGUCCCAUAAUAUGUCACUCAAAAUUUCAAAUUCAUCCAACAAAAAGAAAUCAUCACUUUAGUUAAUUAAAUCAAGAACAAAUAAAGUUAUGGAUGAACAAAUAUGGGAAGCAAAGAAAUGUGACGGAUCAAAAGGGACGAAUAAGCUAAUUUCUGCCAUAAGGUAGAUGGUGAACUUAGGAUGUGGAGUUCCAAUAAAUACCUAAACAUACCUAAACUUUUGGCCAUUCAAAUAGAUUAGACUAAUUUUUAAUUACUUAAAAAUAUUGCAUAAAUUUAAUAACAAAAUGGAGAAUAAAAGAAACAUGAAAUUAUACCUGUCAAUUUGUUAUUGUUAAGAUAAAGCUCUCGAAGAGAAGUCAAGUUUCCAAUAACAAGAGGAAUUUCACCUGAAACGUAUAAUUAAAUCGGUCAAAAUUAUGGAUCAAAAGGGACAAAUAAGCUAAUUUCUGCCAUAAGGUAAAUGGUAACUUAGGAUGUGGAGUUCCAAUAAAUACCUAAACUUUUGGCAAUUCAAAUAGAUUAUACUAAUUUUUAAUUACUUAAAAAUAUUGCAUAAAUUUAAUAACAAAAUAGAGAAUAAAAGAAACAUGAAAUUAUACCUGUCAAAUUGUUAUUGCUAAGAUAAAGAAAUUGGAGAGAAGUCAAGUUUCCAAUAACAAGAGGAAUUUCACCUGAAACGUAUAAUUAAAUCAUCACUUUAGUUAAUUAAAGCAAGAACAAAUAAAGUUUUGGAUGAACAAAUAUGAGAAGCAAAGAAAAAUGAUGGAUCAAAAGUGACGAAUAAGCUAAUUUCUGCCAUAAGGUAGAUGAUGAACUUAGGAUGUGGAAUUCCAAUAAAUUCCUAAACAUACCUAAACUUUUGGCAAUUCAAAAUCAAAUUCUAGUGGUAAAAAUUAUGAAAUGAGUAAUUAUUAUUUUUACAGCAAAAAAUGUGAGUAUAUAAAGAAAAAUAAAAAUAAAAAUGUAGAGCAAUAUAAAAAGAAGUUUUAAGGUAAGUAGGUUUGUUAUUUUUAAGAAUAUUAGUAAAGCAGGACAUUUGGUUUUGCUUAUAUAAGAAGUUGGUUCAUGCAUAGGGAUGUCAUGUUACCCAUGUUUGCAUUUAAAUAUUUGUAUUAAGAAAUAUAUUAUUUGAAAGAGUUUAAUAAUUUUAAGCUGUCUAAUAAUAAAUAAAUUAGUCUAAGAAAAAAUAAUGCAUCUUAUACCAAUAUUCUUAUAUUUGUCUAAUUUCAAAGUAGUUAAAGGAUUAAAUGUGUAAUUACUUGUAUUUUUAAAACGACAGUUAUUUUAUUUUCUAUAUUUGUUUAUUUUUUAUUUUUUUAAAUAUAUAUUUAAACUUUGCAAAAUGAAUGGAUAUAUUUGAACAUGAAACAUGAUACAAUAAUUUAGUGAGAAUGAAAUAAAAUAAUGGUGGAAAAAUGAUAUGAUGACAUUAAACGGAAAAUAAGCGAAUGAAUAAAUAAGUAAAUAAAGGAGAAUAAGAAGAUAAAGACCAAAAACAAUUGCUAUGCUAAUGAAUAAUAUCAAUAUUUCUAUGAUGAUAACAAAACAACGAUUAAACGAUAAUCAUGUUGUAGUUAUUAUCUUGGUAUUACAUUGAAUAAAUAAUAAUGACAAGAACAAAGAAUAAAAUAGAAUAAUAUGUGCAAAUGAAUAAUAUAGACAAAGAUAAAAUAUAUAAAUUUUAAAUACUAAAUAAAUGAUAUAGUAAAUAAAUAAGCAAAAUUAAUCGAAAUACAAAGUAAAUUGGAACUCAAGCAAAGUUUAAAACUCAUAUCGCAAAAUAAAUGAGGGAAAGGGACCACAAAUAUACAAAUAAAAUGAAAAUAAAUAUAAAUUUUAAAUAUAUAAAAAAUAAAUAAAAAAAGAAAUAACGAAUAAAUGACUAAAUAAAUAGAUAAGACAAAUAUAAAAAAAUAUUAAAUUUAAGUAUUUAAAAAUUAAAAGAAUGAUAAACAAAUAAAUAAAUAAAUUUAAGUAUUUGCAAUUCAAAUUGAUGAUAUUUUUCUUAUUCUUAUGUUUUUCUAAUUUCAAAGUACUUAAAGGAUUAAAUGUGUAAUUAAUAGUUUUUAAGCCAAAAGUAUUAUAGUAAAAAGUUAAAAGAUUGUAAAGUUAUUUAGUAAUAUAUAGCACGAUUCUGUUAUAAGUAUUAUAACAGUACCAACAAAAAGGAAAAUAAAGAUGAUAUUAUAUCUGUUAAGUUGUUAUAAAAAAGAAUGAUGAUCACGAGAGAAAUAAGGUUUCCAAUAACAGAUGAAAUUUCACUUAAAAUUAUUAAAAUUUACUAACAGAUCUUAAAAUCGUUAAAACUCAAUGCGGGUAGGUAUAAGUCUGAAACAUAUAAUAUCAACUAUGUACUCUGUAAUCAAAGUUAAUUAAGAGAAAUCAUAUACUCUAUUUCUUUCCUAUUCAAGAAUAUCAACACAUAAAUAAUAAGGAUAGAAAAAAAUAGGUAAUUACAAGUCUUGUGUGAUUCAAAAGCGUAUAAAGUAGGUCCUAAUUACAAAUCAAACCUUAAAUUAAUUUAAUGUAAAAUUUAACUCUUUUCUUAUCACCAAAUAAAUCUACUUUUAGUAAAUUAGGAGUUUUAAUAAAAUACUUGUAAUAAAAGAUUGUUUAUGACUAAGUGUUUUGUUUUCAACAUAUUUGGAAUUAACUUGCCUUAGAAAAACAGUCUCUAUUAUUUUUAAGAAUAUUAUAGAAGGGUAGAACUAUGAAAGCGGUUAGUAAAACAUGAGAUGCUAAAUAUAGACACAUGCCAUAAUAGGAAGGAAACUUACAAACAAACUCCUAAACCAAAUAAUUGGUUGAUGGCCGAAUUGUCAAGUAUGGGGUUGUGGAGGUGACUAUGAGUUUUGAUGUGUUCCUACCUGCUACUAAGGGUAAAUCAGGAACAGCAUUGAAAAUCUAACUAGAUUCCGUUUGGCACCAAUUACAUUGGUUGAUGACUCAAUUCACUUAAAUAAUAUAUAUAAACUCUAUGAGUAAGUUUGGUUUCGCUAGCACUGAACUUAGUGGUUAUUGUUUAAAGUCCCGCUUCACUACUUACAACAACUGUUGAUGGAAAUUAGAUAAAAAUGAAUGAAACAAUAACCAGGACUUGUUUACCUUUGAAAUAGUUGUCACCAAGAUCCAAAGUCUCGAGCAAAGUCAAAUUUCCAAUUUCUGUAGGUAUACUUCCCUCCAAGGAGUUGUUAAACAAUGAUAAAAACUUCAGCUCUUUGCACUUGAAUAAACUAUUUGGAAUUCUACCGGAAAUUUGAUUCCAAUCCAAGCUCAACCUUUCUAGUUUUGACAAAUUGCCUAGAGUAGAUGAGAGUUCUCCACUGAAGCUAUUGUUAUCAAAGUCCAAAUAUUUCAUCCGACGCAAAUUAGUUAACUCAAUGGGUAAAGUACCAUGGAAACUAUUUUGAUGAAUGUCAAGCGAAGCAAGGAAAGAUAGAUUUCCCAAUUGAGAAGAAAUAGUGCCUGUGAGAUCCAUGCUUGACAAAUUCAGAGCAGUGACUCUAUGGUGUCUAGAUCCACAUGUGACACCAAUCCAGCUACAAACGGAGGUAGAAGUAGACCAAUUGGUUGCCAAGAAAUUGUGAGGAUCAUGAGUUAUAUGAGAUUUUAGUGCUAAAAGAGCAGAUUGAUCAACGGUGAUGCUAGAAUAUUUUGCAGACAAAAUAACCCCAAAGGUUGCGAAUAGCAGCCCAAACAUAAACGGAGGGAGGAAGCUUGGUCUUGCCAUAAGGUUGGAUAUGGGUGUAAGGCGCAUCAUAAGGAGAGAAACAACCGAAUUUAAUACUUUUCUAAUGUUAGUUCAAUAUUCUUUAAAUACUUUUGAUUCUAGGGACCAUUGACUCAUAAUUUGAGUAAGAAAUACGUACAAUCUUGUGGGUCCAACCAUGUUAUAGGGAAAAAAUUUAAGAUGUAGAAAUUUUUUUAAAUAUUAUUAAAACUAUUAUCAAAUACUUAUUUGAUGCAAGUUCAAAUCGUGUGAUCUCAUUUUAUAUUCCAAUGACAAAUUGAAUAAUUAGUGAGUUUAAUUUUAAAUUUUUUUAUUUUUAAUUAAUACAAAAAAUCUCAACUCAAAUUUUAAAUUAAAAAUUAAAAGUACUUUGUAAAUUUAUAGUAAUUGUAAGUUUCAUUUCAUAAAUUACGUAAGCUAAAUUUAGCAAAAUCUUAUAUUUGAUUAAGAAAGUAGCAUGUUGUCUUACAUAAGCUAAAUUUAGAGUUGUUUGUGAUUUUAUACUCAACUAAAUAAUUAAUAUCUUAUCUUUUUGAGUGUAUAGAUUACAAAUGUUGUAGGAAUGUAUCCUUUGAGAUUGUUUGAUUCUAGUUUUUGACAAAUUGCUCAAAGUUGAUGGGAUAAAACAAGUGAGUUUGAUGGUGUUCGGAAACAAGCUUCGAUGUUUAGUGAGAUCAAAAUUUGUUGGCAAAUUAAAUUACUCAAUGGGUAAAUAUCCAUGGAAGUUACUGUCCCAGAGUGGGGCUAGACUUGGAUGGUGUCUGCGAGACUCAUUUUUAUCAAAUUCAAAGUGGCAGUAAUAUCGAUUAAAUUACAACUAGAAAUAAAAACAGAUCAGUUGAUUUGGUUGCGAAGAGGUUUCGAGGGUCAUGCUUUUCCCCUAUCAUCCCAAGUACUACUAAGUCAGUACCCCUCUAAAUGGGGAGAACUUUGUUGAUGUUUCAUUGGUUUAAAAGUCCAAAUACCAAUUGUAAGGCAUCAAAACAACAAAGACAAGUACUGGGGACCAGCUGAAGAGAGUGAGUGACAUGGUUUGAUUUAGAGUCUCAUGAUUGCAACAUGUUUGAUCGUGAUAUGAUUGUAAUGUCUAACAAAAUAUAUACCAAGAUGGAAAGACCUUUUUUUCUAUAAAAUCUAAAUUUCUAGUUUUGAAGACAUGCCUUUGGUUCUCAUCUCUUACUUGUUCUGCACGGCUAAGUCGCAGUUGCUUCGAUGGGCCCAUGUUGGAAACAUGAAUUGAAAAGAAUGCCAACAAGUAAUAGAAACUUUGUAAUAUUCAGAUAGAUCAAAUUAAGCUUUGUGUGGACCAUUCUCAAAUAAUUACAUUGGCAAUCCUGAAUUUAACAAUCUAACCAUUGAAUUUAACAAUAUAAUUAUAGUUGCCUUGCAUUUAAAAUUUUGAAUUAAUCUAAUAACUCUAUCAUUUCAGUCCAAAACUUUGUUUAUUUCAUAUAUAUUAUAUAAAGCAAAGUUUAUAAGUGUUUUUGAAUGUAACUAAGUAAGCAUGUUUCUUCUACCGCGAGUCAAAAGUUUGCAGCAAUUUUAGCCAUUUCGUACACUAUAUAUCAUUAUAUUGUUGCCUUAAUUAAAGCAGAAUAAUAUAUAUUUCCAUAAGUUUUAAAAAAUAUCAUAAAUUUCCAUUGGGAAUUUGGUUGGUGUAUUCUAAAUCACAUAAUAAUCAGAAAUAUAGAAGAUUUCCAUAUAUUCUCACCUUUUAGUAUAAGUAAUAAUAAUAAAAAUUUGUUGACUCUGGUCAAAGUUGCCUUUACUAUGAAAAUAAAAAUAAAUUUACAAAAUUAGAACCGUAAAAUUCAAGUAAAUCAUUUUUGGUUUAAAAUUUUAAACGUACAUAUUAAAGAUCUCCAAACAAUUUUACUUUAUAAGAGCAAAGUUUAUGGAAUAAUUUUUAUAUCCAAUAAAAAGCCUUUUAUUCUUAUAAAUAUCGUGAAAUUACAAAGUUAAUCUUUGUGUAGGAAAUCUGAUAGGUAAGUAGAAUAACAUCCAUCUAAUAGAUUAGGAAAUAUGUAGUCUUGAGAUGGAAUAGAUUUUACGGUCACAUUGGCAACCCUAAAUUAUAAUCUUCAUUCAUCUCGUUUGCAUAACAUCCAUCUAGUUUUGAGAAAUCUUCACUUUUAAUUUCAAAAUUGCAAUUAAAUAGUUUUAUCCAAUUAAAUAAUAAUUGUUGGCACCAUUUUUUGAUAAAACGGGGUCGACUUAGAUUUUGAAAACAAAAACGAAAACGGGAGUCGCCACCAAUCCUUUUUGAUAAGGUGUGAUCGGAUAACCUUGAAAGUUGGUUGUUUUUAAUAAACGAUUUAAUUUUAUUAAAACAACGAGUUUGGUCCAUGAAAUUCAGAAAAACGGGUUCGGGAGUCGGUUACGUACGAGGAAGGAUUAGCACCCUCGUAACGCCCAAAAAUUGGUACCUAGUUGAUUAGUUAAUGUCUUAAUGUCGAAAAUUGAAAACUUUGAAGAAUUUUAAAAAUACGAUUCUUAAUUUUUUUAAAAGAAAACUUAUAUAAAUCAAGUUACUCGUUAAGACCCUCUCAUUUUAGAAAGAGAAAACGUCACGCCCAAUGUGUUAGGGCACGAUAUUUUACCUCUUCAGAAAUGAGCUUGUCUAAAAACUUGCACAAUAAAAUUUUAAAGGGUAUUCAAUUGUUUAAGUCACGCGAAAAAUUGCAACCCAAUACGAUAGGGCACAAUUUUUCAAAAUAUUAAACAUUGAAUAUUGCAUUCAUUUUGAAAAAUCCUCGACUCGAGAAAACAACUUGUCAUAUCCAAUGCGUUAGGACACAACGUAUUGAAUUCUCGAUAAUGAGCUUUUUAUUUAUGUUUUUGUUUUAAAGAGCACCCUCGAUUAUUUAGAUCCAACGAAGAAAAUUGGAACCCAAUACGUUAGGGUUCAAUUCUCUCGAAGAUCCCAAAUACCGAGUAUUGCUUUUAUUUUGAAAUUUUCCGUUUUUGAUAAAUUCGAGUAAAAAUGGAUGCAAAAUAAUGAUAAUGAUGAUAAUGUAAGUAAAAUAUCACGAGAAAAACAAAAUAUAAAUAAAUAAUAAGACUAAUAUAAAUACAAUCGUGCAGGCGCAAUAACAAAUAAGAAACAGAUAAAAACUAAAGCAAGAUAAAUAAUAAUAAUAGACAUGUAAAUAAAUAACUGAACAAAAUUAACAAAAUUAUAAAAAAUAUAAAAGAUAUAUAUACAUAUAUAUGUAUAAAAUUAUGAAAAUAUGAAAAACAUAUGCACGUACACAUUUUGGAAGCUAUUAUACAUGAAAAUAUAUGUAAGUAUAUAUGCACAUACAUGUAUACGUAUAGAACCAUCAUCAAAUAUAUAAAAGUAUAUAUAUGUAGGUAUAUAUGAAUCACAAAAUAUAAAGAAUAUAUACAAGAUAUAUAUUUUAGAAGUAUAAAGAAUAUGUAAGAAUAUAUAUAUACAUUUAUCAAAAUGAAAUAUAUAUAGAUAUGUAUGUAGGUAUGUAUAAAUAUUAUAAAAUAUAAAAACAUAUAUGUGUACGCAUAUAUAUAAAAAUAUACAUAUGUAUAUAUACAUAUAUAUUAUGAAAAUAAAGCUAAAAUAAUAAAAAACUAGUUAGUGUAUUAACAUAAUUGUAAUGACUAAAUAAUUAAAAUAAAACUAAUAAUAAUAAUAACAAUAAUAAUAAUGGCAAUGAUAAUAACAUUAAAAUAAUUAACUAAAUAAUAAAAUUGCUAAAAAAAGGACUAAAUCAAAAUAAAAACGAAAAUAAUGGGCGAAUUCGAAAUAAAAAACGAAAAGGAUUAAAUUGCUACACGCGCCGAAAGAGGGGGGACCAAAAUGGUAAAUAAACCAAAGCCCCAAAACGCAGCGCUGCAAUGGACUAAAAUGAAACAAAAGUAAAAUUAUGCAGCUAAUUUAAAAUAAAAGAAAAUAACGAAGAAAGGGUCAAAUUGCAAUGCAUUGCAAAGUCGGAGGGACUGCGCGCGCAAAUAUCCCCCUUUAAGAAAACACGCGGAUCCUCCCCUAAGGUAGGGUCACCGGGCGGGUCAGGGCCAAAAGGGCGUCAUUUUGGCACCUGACCCUAAUGGCAAGACGGUGUCGUUUCGUUUAGGGUAUUUAAGUGAAUUUUUUUUUGAAAAAUCUAUACAGCCACUAUUUUUUUUAAAAAAAAAAUCAGAACCCCUCCCCUUUUCAUCUCAACAUCUUGCCUUUGGGGUUCUAAGGCCCCUAUCGCGCUGCCCUCUGCUCUCCUCACCGCCACCGUAUCUGACGGCCGACGAAGUGCCAGAACGGGCGUUCAAAGCCUUGUCCCGGUGAGUUUCCCUUUUUUUCUUUAUGUCAUAUAUAUAUGCGAAUAAAUAAACAAAAAAAGUUAAAACAUCUAAAAAAACCGAAAGAAAUAGAACACCAAAAAUCGCCUUUAAAUUUUUUUGUUUUUUAUUUCUGUGAAAAUGUUCCAAAAACACCAAAAAAACCCCCUUUUUGGUGGAGAUACUCGGCUUUUAUAGCCUAAAUUACAUGCUAUUUUUGCUAUUUCUCUUGCGUUUCUAUUGUUUGCGUGUCUUGCAGGUGACGGCGCAAGUGGGGCGGUGACAUGACCGUGGUGGUGGGUAGGUGCGGCGCUGGUCAGAGGCGGCUGAAGGCCAGCUAGGUGCGGCGGCAGUACUAGGGUUUUAGAAAAGCUGAAACCCUAGUUUGACAAAUUGGUUUGGGUCAGAUUUGGGGUUUGGGUACUUAGGCUCGGGUUGUAAUGGGUAUUUGGGUCUAGUGGGCUGUUUGGGCUUGUUUUUGGGUUUGUUUUUGGGCAGGGCAAAAUUGGGCUUGUACAGCUGCCCCUUUUUGCUCAUUGUCGUGUAACGAGAACAGAGCAAAGACCAAGACAGUCCAAUUUUGUCCGGUCUUGCCAAGUCUUGACUUUUUUUGAUACUUCCCUUCUUUAAGCAGCCUCCUUCCAAUCCAAUGCGUCUUGUUGCUUCAAUCUACUCCACUGCACAUCAAAGAGAUACGGCUUUUAGCUUCAAUCCACUUCACUGCACUUCAGAAAGAUCUGACUUGUAGCUUCAAUCUUCUUCGCAGCAACUUCAGGGGGAUGAGAUUUAUAGUUUUAGUCUACUACUCUACAACUUCAGAGAGAUAAGACUUGUAUCUUCAACCUGUUCCACUGCAACUUCAAGGAGAUAAGGUUUGCAAUUUCAACCUGCCCCACUGCAACUUAAGGGGGAUAAGGUUUGAUAUGAUCUGCUUUACUACAACUUUAGAGAGAUAAGAUCAGUAACUUAUAACUUUAAUCUGUUCCACUACAACUUCAGGGAAAUAAGAUUCGUUAUCUUCAGCCUGCUCCACUGCAACUUCAGGGAGAUAAGACUUGUUAUGGUAGACUUAAUCCAACCUACUGCAACUUCAGAGGUAUAACAUUCAUUAUUUUAAUCUGCUCCACUGCAACUUCAGGGAGAUAGGAUUAAUAGCUUCAAUCUGCUCUGCUGCAACUUCAGGGAGAUAAGAUUGGUGUCUUUAACCUACUCCACUGCUACUUCAGCGAGAUAAGGUUUGCAAUUUCAACCUGCUCCACUGCAACUUCAAGGGGAUAAUGUUUGAUAUGAUCUACUCUACUACAACUUUAAAGAGAUAAGAUCCAUCAUUUUAAUCCGCUCCACUGCAAUUUCAGAGAGAUAGGACUAGUGUUUUCGACGUGCUUCACUGCAGUACAGGACAAGAUAUGUUAUCUUCAGUCUACUUCGCUGCCAAUACAGGAAGACAAGACCUGCUAUCUUUAGUCUACUUUGCUGCCAAUAUAGGAAGACAAAACCUGCUAUCUUUGAUCUACUUCGCUGCCAAUACAGGAAGACAAGAUUUGCUAUCUUCAGUCUACUCGCUGCUAAUACAGGAAGACAAGACCUGCUAUAUUCGAUCUACUUCGCUGCCAAUACAGGAAGACAAGAUCUGCUAUCUUCAAUCAACUUCGUUGACAAUACAGGAAGACAAGACAUGCUAUCUUCGAUCUACUUCGUUGCCAAUAUAGUAAGACAAGAUAUGCUAUCUUCAGUCUACUUCGCUGCCAAUAUAGGAAGACAAGACCUGCUAUCUUUGAUCUACUUCACUGCCAAUAUAGGAAGACAAGACCUGCUAUCUUCAGUCUACUUCGCUGCCAAUACAGGAAAACAAGACCUGCUAUCUUCAGUCUUCUUCGCUGCCAAUACAGGAAGACAAGACCUGUUAUCUUUAAUCUACUUCGCUGCCAAUACAGGAAGACAAGACCUGCUAUCUUCGAUCUACUUCGCUGCCAAUACAGGAAGACAAGAUCUGCUAUCUUCAGUCUACUUCGCUACCAAUACAGGAAGAUAAGACCUCUAUCUUUGAUCUACUUCAUUGCCAAUACAGGAAGACAAGAUCUGUUAUUUUCUCUGAUAUGUUCUUUGGGGAACAUGUCUUGUAUAAUUUAUUUUAUGAACCUAAUAUGUCUUAGUGAUUAGGAUGACAUGAUCAGGAUGGAUCAAAUGCUCCUAACUAGAUGUGUAUAAAUGAUAUUUGUAUGAAUGCAGAAAUGUCAUGAGAAUGAUCCCUCAACGUUUGAGUUGUUAUUGCUCAUUGUUCAAAAAGGCUUUAUUGCCAACAUGUCAGAAUGCUAUCUUGUCCCGUUGGUAAUGCUCAUAUCCUACUUAGUCGGCUUGCCCCCAUUGUAAUCUUUAAUGUCCGAUCCACUGUAAUUUUCAAAGUUCAAUCCAUUGUAAUCUCUAGGGACAUAAAAUUUGAACCAUAUUCCUUUCACUGAGUAUAAGAUCUGGCUCUUUCUCAAUCCUCUCCCACUGCAAUUUAGGGAUACAAGAUCUGAAUCUCUUUGGUCUCCUACACCAUUCUCAGGGUGUCGUACCAAAUGUUUAUACACAAUUGUAGAACUUUCUCUUUCGAGAAGCCUCUUCUUAUUACUUGGUGAUCAUUACUUCCUUGUUCAUUGAAGCUUUGUCACCAACACGACAUCUUGUCAUUUUUGUUCAACCAAUGUUUGGAUAACAAAAUUCGAAUGGAUAGUCUUAGACUUUUCAUUCUUAGAUAUUUCAACCUUUAAACGUGGUGUUUUCUAAACAAUAGUCAUGUUUCAGGUUCCUAUAUUAUUUAGAAACUUCUAGAGUAAUAUGCAAAACUUCUGUUGUGAAAGUAUUAUUAGUCCAUUAAUCAUUAUUCCAAUGCAAUUCUUGCAAAAGAUCAUAACGAUCGAUAAAAUAGGAUUGAUUUGGGAGCAUGACUCAAAAUGGAUAAAUUAUUAAGGAUAGUAAAAAUAAAAGAGGAAUGGAUUGGGAACACAUAUCUUGAAAAAGAAUAAAGUAUUCCAAGAAUAACAAAUUCAAUAUAAAUAGUAUGAAGACUAGUGCCCCAAAUAUGUGUUUGACAUGUGUUUGAUAUGAAGACUAGUGCCCCAAAUAGUAUGAAUAACUUGAACUUCUUUGUACAAACUUUCUGAAGACCAUUCUGAGUUUAACAUGUGUUUAGGAGAUCUACAGUACUUUGCCGAUGCCCUAAGAUGUCGUCUACCCUUUCCUGUUGAUUCAGGUAUAGCAAGAUCACCACAUGCCCCCAAUCUGAUCAAAAUUUGAGCUGCUCUGAUCACCUUAUGUCCUAUUCUUAUCAAAAUUUGAGCCGCCCUUUUCACGUUUUCAACUCAAAUCCCCUUUGGUCUCAAGGCGCCCUUUGUGGUUUUCACUUUGGCCUUUCCUUUUUCUUUUUCUUUUCUUCUUCUUUUUCUUUUUUUUUCUUGUUUUUUUAUUUUUUUGAUUGAAUCUGAACUCAUAGGAUUAAGCAUGUCCUUAUUACCCCUUCUAAUCAAGAUCGAUGCUUUUCCAAAUAAGGCCUUCCACAUAAGAUUUUUCCCAGCUUGGCGUAAAGUUCUUUUUGUAUGGGAAUGAUCUUCUUCAAUACUAGGUCUCUCUCAUUGGAAUUCUCUAGGGUGAACCUUCUUUGGUGAGCUUACAUCAUUUUUUAGCACAUUUGAUCAUGACGGAUAACUUUAAAACUUUCUCUUCAAUCGGGAUUGGAUCUAAAAAAACUCAGAGAGAAGGAACCUCAACUUCAAUGGGCAAAACUGCGAUAAGCCCAAGAAAAAUACAUUUCCCCAAUAGGUUUUUUUUACAGCGCUAUUCGUUUUGCGGCAAUAUGGUGUUAAUCUUGAACAGACUGUAAACUUCUGAUACGUGCUGUUGUUCAGAUUUAGUUCCUUGUCAGAUAUGAUCUUUUUUGGCAUUCCAAGAAUUUGAUGACUAUCGACUUCGUGACAUUGGCAUAUGAAGCAGCUUCCACCCACUUAGUAAAGUAAUCGACGACCACAAAGAUGAAUCACUGACCGUCAGAAGCUUUUGGCGAGAUCGACCCACUGACAUCUGUGCCCCACAUAGAGAAAGUCUAUAAAAAAGUCAUAACAUGAAGGGAUGAAGGAGGCACAUGAAUCUUGUCUCCAUAAAUUUGGCACUUAUGACAUUUCUUGGCACAACUGAUGCAAUCCCCUUUCAUGGUGGACUAGCAGUACCCGAAUCAUUGUAAAACCAUUAGCAUGUGUUCCUCAGACACCCUUAUAGACCUCUUCUAAGAUUUUCUUAGCCUCAACAGCGUCGACACAUCUUAGUAGCUCAGGCAUAUUUUGGUACGAUCAUGCGACAACAUCUUUAAAUUCUUGAAGUAACUCAAUAAUAUCUUGCUUUAUUUCUGUGAUGAUACAGGCUCCAAUCUUCACCUCUUUCUCUUCUCCUAAGGUCACAAUUUCCACUUGAUUCCUUGUAAGGCAGGAUCUGUUUCUCAACUUGUUCUACCGUCCUUAACAAGUCCGAAAAUAGGCUAUAAUCUAUGUCAUCUUCAAAGUCAUGAGAUCCUUCUAAACACAUGUCUCGCUCAAAAAGAGAUUUUGAGUCUGUAGCAGCGUCACUUAUGUCAUUGAUAUCUAGGGACCUAUUAUAGGUACAAAAGAAUGUAUAAAGAAUAUAUAAACUUAUGAGUAAUUAUUUGUUCAGUAUGAUUAUGAAUGAAUGAAAGAAUGAUUUGGAAGAAAGAAUGAAUAAAAAAUAAUUAUUCAUAAAGAAUGAAAUAAUAUUGGCUCAAAAAUGACCGCAAAGAUGCAUUUCAUAAUGACAUUCAGAUAUGAGCCUAUUUCACAAAAGAGUUCUUAUUGUCUCUAAGCUAAAAGCAACAAGUGUGUUCUGAAUAUUACUCUAAGUAAGCUCUAAAUACUACAGGGGUCUCUUCUGUAGUCUAAUUAUUUAGAACACUUCCAGGGUUAGAAGGGCGGAUAUCUAACAAGGUUCCUUUUCAAUUGCGUCUAUAAACGUUUCCCAACACUUCUCCAUUCAUCUCAUUCACCCCAUUAUCAAUGUGAUUGGGUAGCGAAUUUUCUGCACUAGGUGAAUCAUAAAAUUUGACAACGCCCAUACUGACAAGCUUUUCAACCACUUUUUUAAAGGCAAUGCAAUCUUCUAUGGAAUGUCUCGUAAUUCUCGCAUAACAAUCACAUUGUGCAUUCACGUCGUACCAUUUGGGGUAUGGAGGUCGUGGGGGUUUUGAGUAGAAAGGGGCAACAAUGUGAGCAUCGAAUAAGCUUUGAUAUAGCUCUUUAUACGACAUUGAAAUUGGCGUGAACUAAAGCUUUUCAGUGUUUUGUCUUGUGCCAGAUUCUUGUCUUAGGGGGAUCUGACGGCUAGAAGCAACCGUCCUUGGUUGGCUUGCUGUAAUUGGCUUUGAAUAACCCUCGUUAUACCUACUCGCAGCAUUCACCUCAUUUUUCCUCUUUCUUGGGGUCUUUGAAGUAUUGAUUUGGGAGUUCGACUUUCGCCAUUUCCAUUUGUAACAAUCUUCAAAUUAUUUUGAAAACUCCACUCUCGCCUGUUUUGUUUCUGCUAGAUUGUCAAGGACCACAGGAUUGGUUAGAUUAUCCCCAGGCUGAAACUUGAGUCUGUCGGGUAAUUCAUUGGUGUCGAGGUACCGAUCUGGUAUUGAGGUCUGAUGUUAACAGACAUCUUUUGUGGAUAUCCAUCUGGUCGUGCCUGGGUGAUUGUUGGUGUAGAGCCUAAAAAAUAAGCAUGGUCUUCAUUAUCUUCUUCAAAGUGGACCACUGGGUUUUUUUCCUUUUUCUAACCCUCUAUCCAAUAACUGGGUUAACUGGCUCAUCAGAUCUCUUUUGAAUUAUAGCAUCUGAUCCUUCAUCUCUUGUUGAAAUUUGGUCAAUUGCUCUAAUAUCUGUAUUUGCCUUUGCUCUAAUCUCUCCACCCUUUGGUCCAUCCCUUUAAUUUCUUGUUCAGGCAUCGUAAGGGUGUUGGUUUUCCAGAUUAGCUGAAAUAAUUUUACUCAAUUAGGUUCUUUUAAUGGUUCUUAAUGCAUAUGAUGUUAUGUAAUGCAAAUGCAUGAAUGUAAAAGAAGAGAGGCAUUGAUUCUGAUUCAAUUCUAUUAGAAUAACUUUUCUAGAAAACAAAUCUCUUUACAUAAAAUGGAUAUAUAUUCGGCAUUGCCCUCAUAUUCCAAGCGAAAACAACGAUCCUUUUCUUCAUCCGGAUGUUAAAAUAAAUCUCGCAAAUUUUUAAUGGAUGCCUCUACUUGCUCCUUUUUGCUUGUUCCGGGUUCUGACUCAUUACUCACUCAUCCUCGUGAUGCUCGGUAGCUUCUUUAAAAAGGGCAGGACAUUGAUGCCUCUCGAAUAAUCUUUAUCAACUUAAAUCCUCAGACAACGAAACAAAUUUGUGUAGUCCUCUAUUAGACCAUCAUCCUUCUCUUGUUGUGUUUUCUCGGAACAUAUUCGGACAACCGUAUUAUUUCCCACUUUAUCAAAAGACCCAUUUUCCAUGACAAGCUUUUCUAUUUAGCAAUCAAAUUUGAAUCAACACCUCUUUUCUAGGAUGAAAAUGCAAUGCAGUCUUAACCAAAACAAAAUCGAUUAGUACAAAGCAAAAGAAAAUAAGAAAGAUAGAAUACCUAUUCGGGUAACUACUAGGGGUUUGAAGUGGUUCUACCUAGGGUGGGCUCCUAAGGUCUUCUAUAUGUGGUUUGGUUCUAAAGCAAAGGUACCCAAACCAGCAGAUUCCUUGAUCCGCACCCAUUAUAGGCUCAUACGGACCGAGUUAGGUUCAGGGGAAUACAUUUCCCUAUGGCUACACAGAGAUGAGAAUCUCACGAAGACAUAGGUACAGAUAUAUCCCGAAAGUGAUCCACUAUCCUGCACGGAGGUGAAAACCUCACGAAGGAGUAGCUUCUCACUCCCACUUAAAAGGGUGUGACCCACGGUCAUGCAAUCCAAUGUGCAGAAAGAUACCAAAAUUUAAACCAACACAUCAAUUAUAAACCACAACGAUGAAAAUUGUAAUAAAGACGAAUGAAAUGCAACGAAAGGAUCGUAUAUUUAAAUCAAGUUUUCAAUUUUCAACAAAAAGACAAAAAGUAAUCAACUCCUGGCUCGAUUCACUUAUUUUGGGUCCCUAGUGGAGUCGCCAAGCUGUUGGCACCAUUUUUUGAUAAAACGGGGUCGACUUAGAUUUUGAAAAUGAAAACAAAAACGGGAGUCGCCACCAAUCCUUUCUGAUAAGGUGUGAUCGGAUCACCUUGAAAAGUGGUUGUUUUUAAUAAACGAUUUAAUUUUAUUAAAACAACGAGUUUGGUCCAUGAAAUUCAGAAAAACAGGUUUGGGAGUUGGUUACGUACGAGGAAGGAUUACCCUCGUAACGCCCAAAAAUUGGUACCUAGUUGAUUAGUUAAUGUCUUAAUGUCGAAAAUUGAAAACUUUGAAGAAUUUUAAAAAUACGAUCCUUAAUUUUUCUUUUAAAAGAAAACUUAUAUAAAUCAAAUUACUCAUUAAGACCCUCUCAUUUCAGAAAGAGAAAACGUUACGCCCAAUGCGUUAUGGCACGAUAUUUUACCUCUUCAGAGAUGAGCUUGUCUAAAAACUUGCACAAUAAAAUUUUAAAGGGUAUUCAAUUGUUUAAGUCACGUGAAAAAUUGGAAAACCCAAUACGUUAGGGCACAAUUUUUCAAAAUAUUAAACAUUGAAUAUUGCAUUUAUUUUGAAAAAUCCUCGUCUCGAGAAAACAACAUGUCAUAUCCAAUGCGUUAGGACACAAUGUACUGAAUUCUCGAUAAUGAGCUUUUUAUUUAUGUUUUUGUUUUAAAGAGCACCCUCGAUUAUUUAGAUCCAACGAAGAAAAUUGGAACCCAAUACGUUAGGGUUCAAUUCUCUCGAAGAUCCCAAAUACCGAGUAUUGCUUUUAUUUUGAAAUUUUCCGUUUUUGAUAAAUCCGAGUAAAAAUGGAUGCAAAAUAAUGAUAAUGAUGAUAAUGUAAGUAAAAUAACACGAGCAAAACAAAAUAUAAAUAAAUAAUAAGACUAAUAUAAAUACAAUCGUGCAGGCGCAAUAACAUAUAAGAAACAGAUAAGAACUAAAGCAAGAAAAAUAAUAAUAACAGACAUGUAAAUAAAUAACUGAACAAAAUUAACAAAAUUAGAAAAAUGUAAAAGAUAUAUAUAUAUACACAUAUAUAUGUAUAAAAUUAUGAAAAUAUGAAAAACAUAUGCACGUACACAUUUUUGAAGCUAUUAUACAUGAAAAUAUAUGUAAGUAUAUAGGUACAUACAUGUAUAUGUAUAGAACCAUCAUCAAAUAUAUAAAAGUUUAUAUAUGUAGGUAUAUAUGAAUCACAAAAUAUAAAGAAUAUAUACAAGAUAUAUAUUUUAGAAGUAUAAAGAAUAUGUAAGAAUAUAUAUAUACAUAUAUUUAUGAAAAUGAAAUAUAUAUAGAUAUGUAUGUAGGUAUGUAUAAAUAUUAUAAAAUAUAAAAACAUAUAUUUGUACGCAUAUAUAUAAAAAUAUACAUAUGUAUAUAUACAUAUAUAUUAUGAAAAUAAAGCUAAAAUAAUAAAAAAAACUAGUUAGUGUAUUAACAUAAUUGUAACGACUAAAUAAAGGAAAAUAAAACUAAUAAUAAUAAUAAUAAUGAUGGCAAUAAUAAGAACAUUAAAAUAAUUAACUAAAUAAUAAAAUUGCUAAAAAAACUGACUAAAUCGAAAUAAAAACGAAAAUAAUGGGCGAAUUCGAAAUAAAAAAACGAAAAGGAUUAAAUUGCUACAAACGCCGAAAGAGGGGGACCAAAAUGGUAAAUAAACCAAAGCCCUAAAACACAGCGUUGCAACGGAUUAAAAUGAAACAAAAGUAAAAUUAUGCAGCUAAUUUAAAAUAAAAGAAAAUAACGAAAAAAUGGCCAAAUUGCAAUGCGUUGCAAAGUCGGAGGGACUACGCGUGCAAAUAUCUCCCUUUAAGAAAACACGCGGAUCCUCCCCCUAGGGUCGGGUCACCGCGCUGGUCAGGGCCAAAAUGGCAUCGUUUUGGCACCUGACCCUAAUGGCAAAACGGCGCUGUUUCAUUUAGGGUAUUUAAGUGAAUUUUUUUUUGAAAAAUCUAUACAGCCACCAUUUUGUUAAAAAAAAAUUCAGAACCCCUCCCUUUUUCCUCUCAACAUCCUGCCUUUGGGGUUCUAAGGCCCCUAUCGCGUCGCCUCUCUACUCGUCACACCACCACCGUAUCUGACGGCCGACGAAGCGCCAGAACGGGCGUUCAAAGCCUUGUCCCGGUGAGUUUCCCUUUUUUUUCUUUAUGUCAUAUAUAUAUGCGAAUAAAUAAACAAAAAAAAGUUAAAACAUCUAAAAAAAACCGAAAGAAAUAGAACACUAGAAAUCACCUUUAAAUUUUUUUGCUUUUUAUUUUUGUGAAAAUGUUCCAAAAACACAAAAAAAACCCCCUUUUUGGUGGAGAUACUCGGCUUUUAUGGCCUAAAUUACAUGUUAUUUUUGCUAUUUCUCUUGUGUUUUUGUUGUUUGCGUGUCUUGCAAGUGACGGCGCAAGUGGGGCGGCGACGUGACCGUGGCAGUGGGCAGGUGCGGCGCUAGUCAAAGGUGGCUGAAGGCCAGCUAGGUGCGGCGGCAGUACUAGGGUUUCAGAAAAGAUGAAACUCUAGUUUGACAAAUUGGUUUGGGUCAGAUUUGGGGUUUGGGUACUUGGGCUCGAGUUGCAAUGGGUAUUUGGGCCUAGUGGGCUGUUUGGGCUUGUUUUUGGGCAGGGCAAAAUUGGGCUUGUACAAUAAUAAUAUAUGGCUAUGCUGAUGUCUGUAAUUUCAUAAAAUAAUUACUCUAAUUUAAUCUAAUCCAUGUCUCUUUCUUUCUGAGUUUGUCAGGCAAUAAAUUCCCUUCGAUUUCAUCUAGCUUGUUAUAAUAAUGUUAUUUCAAAUUAGUUAAUGAAGAGAAUUUGUGAUGUUAUAUUUAAAUUGAAUCUUUUGAUUUCUUAAGAAUUGAUUUUAAAUUAGAAAGAUCAAAAUUUAAGUAGGAUCACUAAGAGAUGCUAGUGGGAUAAGUUUUGCGGGUCUCACCCUGCUUCACGCUCAAUUGACGGAGGGAUGGGGAUAAAAAUUAAACCCGUUGUGAGUGGUGGGGUAGGCUUGGGUAUGACCUUAUACCUACCCCCAUCCCAUCUCUAUCCAUCCCGCAUAAUAUAAUAAACAUAUUUAAAAAAUAAAAAUUUAUAAAAAUUUAAUUUAAUAAUUAUUUUAAUAGUAUUUAAUUUUUGCACUUGUAUUGUAUUUGAAGACAUUUAUGAUGUAUUUGAGAUAUUGUUUGUAUUUUGAUAUUAUGUAAUGACUUUAUUAGGAGAGAAACAACCGAGUUUAAUACUUUUUUAAUGUUAGUUCAAUAUUCUUUAAAUACUUUGAUUCUAAGGAUUUAGGUAAGGCAUCCAUUGACUCAUAAUUUGAAUAAGAAAUACGUACAAUCUUCUGGGUCCAACCGUGUUAUAAGGGAAAAAAGGAGAGCCUAAAAUAGAAGACUUAGUCUCAAGUUGAAGAGUAGCACUAAUAAUUCAAUUGGUUGGUUUGAGAAACCCAGGAACCUUUUAUAGGUUUAAGUUUUUACUAGGAGGAAAAAAUUUAAGAUGUAGAAAAUUUUUAUUAUUGUUAAACCUCUUAUCAAAUAAUUAGUAAUUUUUUUUAUUUUUAAUUAAUAUAAAAAUUCUCAACUCAAAUUUUAAAUUAAAAAUUAAAAGUAAUUUGUAAGUUUAUAGUAAUUGUAAGUUUCAUAAAUUAAAAAUGUUGUUUUUUUUUCAUUUUUAAAUAUAAUAAAGGCAAAAUUAACGGAAGGGAAAACUUUCUGCUUGGUUUAAAAGUCAGAUAUCAAUUACAAGACAAAAAAAAAAACAAAGACAAGUAUUGGGGACCAGUAGAUGAUAGUGAGUGACACUAUUUGAUUUAGUCUAAUUAUUUCAACAUGUUUGAUUGAAACUAUUUUGUAAUCUCUGAUUAAAUAAAUAUUGACAGGAAAAGACUUCAAUUUUCUUCUUUUCCUUAGCUAUAAAAUUGAAUUUCUAGUUUGGAUUACAUGCCUUUGGUUCUCAUCUCUAGUUGUGUAAGGCUGAGUCGCUGUUAAUUAGUUGGAUGGACCUACAUUAAAAACAUGAAUUGAAAAGAUAAGUAAUAGAAACUUUGUCAGAUUUAGACAAAUAUCAACCACAUCUUUAUUAACAUUUUACAUUUCUUAUCCCAAUAUUCAAAACCAAACAAUAAUACAUUCAUUGCAUGUUCCUUUUCUCAAAUAUCAUUUUAUUUAAUGUCAUUAGAGAUUACUCUAUUCUUUUUUCUUUGUGAUAAAAAUUGUUAAACAAAAAAUUAUUACAAAUGUUGUAGGAAUCUAUCCUUUGAGAUUGUUUGAUUCUAGUUUUUGACAAAUUGCUCAAAGUUGAUGGGAUAAAACAAGUGAGUUUGAUGGUGUUCGGAAACAAGCUUCGAUGUUUAGUGAGAUCAAAAUUUGUUGGCAAAUUAAAUUACUCAAUGGGUAAAUAUCCAUGGAAGUUAUUGUCCUAGAGUGGGGCUGGACUUGGAUGGUGUCUGCGAGACUCAUUGUUAUCAAAUUCAAAGUGGCAGUAAUAUCGAUUAAAUUACAAGUAGAAAUAAAAACAGAUCAGUUGAUUUGGUUGCGAAGAGGUUUCGAGGGUCAUGCUUUUCCCCUAUCAUCCCAAGUACUACUAAGUCAGUACCCCUCUAAAUGGGGAGAACUUUGUUGAUGUUUCAUUGGUUUAAAAGUCCAAAUACCAAUUGUAAGGCAUCAAAACAACAAAGACAAGUACUGGGGACCAGCUGAAGAGAGUGAGUGACAUGGUUUGAUUUAGAGUCUCAUGAUUGCAACAUGUUUGAUCGUGAUAUGAUUGUAAUGUCUAACAAAAUAUAUACCAAGAUGGAAAGACCUUUUUUUCUAUAAAAUCUAAAUUUCUAGUUUUGAAGACAUGCCUUUGGUUCUCAUCUCUUACUUGUUCUGCACGGCUAAGUCGCAGUUGCUUCGAUGGGCCCAUGUUGGAAACAUGAAUUGAAAAGAAUGCCAACAAGUAAUAGAAACUUUGUAAUAUUCAGAUAGAUCAAAUUAAGCUUUGUGUGGACCAUUCUCAAAUAAUUACAUUGGCAAUCCUGAAUUUAACAAUCUAACCAUUGAAUUUAACAAUAUAAUUAUAGUUGCAUUGCAUUUAAAAUUUUGAAUUGAUCUAAUACCUCUAUCAUUUCGGACCAAAACUUUGUUUAUUUCAUAUAUAUUAUAUAAAGCAAAGUUUUUAAAUAUUUUUGAACGUAACUAAGUAAGCAUCUUUUUAGUAUUUUUUUUUAUCUAAAUUAGAUUUGAGUAAAAUUUUAGCCAUUUCUUACACUAUAUAUCAUUAUAUUGUUGCCUUAAUUAAAGUUUUCAUAAAUUUUUAAAAAUAUCAUAAAUUUCCAUUGGGAAUUUUGUUGGUGUAUUCUCUAAAUUACAUAAUAAUCAGAAAUAUGAAAGAUUUUCAUAUAUUCUUGCCUUUUAGUAUAAGUAAUAAUAAAUUUUUUUGUUGAUUCACCUUUACUAUGAAAAUAAAAAUAAAAAAUUACAAAAUUAGAACCGUAAAUCAAUUUUGGUUUAAAAUUUUAAACCUACAUAUUAAAGAUAUCCUAACUAUUUUACUUUAUAAGAGCACAGUUUAUGGAAUAAUUUUUAUAUCCAAUCAAAGGCUUUUCAUUCUUAUAAAUAUCGGAAAUUACAAAGUUAAUCUUUGUGUGGAAAAUUUGAUAGGUAAGUAGCAUAGCAUCCAUCUAAUAGAUUAGGAAAUCUGUAGUCUUGAGAUGGAAUAGUGUAGCGACCUAAAAUUUUGGGCACGGGUGCUAGUCGAAGUAAUUAUUGAAAACUUGAAAACAGUAUCUCGAUUUUAUUUGAAAAAAGAGUCGCCACCGAUCUUUUUUUCUAGGUGUGAUCGGACACCAAACAAAUUCUCUUUUUUUAAAACAAAAAUUAUUUUUCAAAUUUUUCUAAAAAGAGGUAAUUUUAGGUCUACGUGAAAAUCCAGAGAAAAUUAGAGUUCGGGAGUCGGUUACGUGCGAGGAAGGUAUUAGCACCCUCGCGACGCCCAAAAUUGGUAUCUCGUUAAACGCAUGUUGUCUUAAUUUUCAAAAAAUACGAAUUCAAUUUAAUAUUUACUCGUGAUCCGAUUGAAACAUGAGAAUUUUUUUUAAAAAAACACGAGAAAUUUGAAACACGAUUUAAAAAAAAACACGAAAGUUUUUGAAUCACAAGAAUUUUUGAAAACCCGAAAAUUUUUAGAAACAUGAAGAUUUUUGAAACACGACAAUUUUUGAAACACAAGAAUUUUUUUUAAAGCGCAAACUUUUUUAAAACACUGAAAUUUGUGAAACACGAGAAUUGUUGAAAACACGAAAAUUUUUGAAAAUAUGAAAAUUUUUGAAAACACAAAAAUUUUUGAAACACAAAAAUUUUUAGAAAACAAGAAAACUUUUUGAAUCACUAGAAUUUUGAAAACACGUAAAUUUUUGAAACAUCGGAAUUUUUGAAAACAUGUGGAUUUUUUUUUACACAAAUUUUCUGAUUUUUUUAUUAAGCACGUAUCGUAUUUAACACGAGCCGGUGAUAUUCACUCAACAUAGCAAUGAAAUCAACGAAUUAGUGACAAAUCGAUUCGUUGCCUUAUUUUUUGAAAACGCGAAUAUAUUUUUUUAAGACACGGGAAAAUUUUUUUUUAAGACAAAAAAAUUUUGAAACACAGGAAUUUUUUUUUGAAAACACGAAUUUUUUUUGAAUUUUUUUUAUUUUUAAAAGGGCGUAUCGAGUUUAAUGCAAACCGGUGAAAUUCACCCAGCAUAGCGAUGAAAUUAACGAUUUAAUGUUAAAUCGAUUCGUUGCCUUAUUUAUUAAAAUUAUUUAAAAUAAAAUAAAAUUGAAAUUAAAUUAAAUUAAAAAUAUAAAUACAAAAAUAUAAAAAUACAUAAAGUACUAAUAAUAUUAAAACGAAAUAGCAUAAAAAUACGAGUAUUAAAUUAAAAGCGAAAUAAACGAAAUUACCGAAAAGGUCCAAAACACAAGCUUGGUCGAACGGGUUAUGCAAAUUGAACCCUUUUCUCUUUUUUCUUCUUUUUUUCUUUUUUCUUUUUUUCUCUGUUUUUUUCCGUCUUUCUCUUCUUUUUCUUUUUUGGCCUGUUGGGCCUGCACACUUGCUGGCUGCUGUUGGGCUGCCUGCGCACUGGGCCUGGCUGCUGGACUGGUGCGUUGGGCUUUGGGUUGCUUCUUUUCUCUUUUUUUUUUCUGCUUUGUUUAUUUUUUUUCUAGGCUGCUGAGCUGCUACUGUGGCCUGCUAAUUUGCUGGGGCUGUCGGGUCGGGUCACGGGUCAUACGGGUCGGGUCGGACUGACCUGACUAUUAAAAAAUAAUUUUCUUUUUCUUUUUUCUUCUUCUUUCUUCUUCCCCUUUUCUUCUUUCUUUCUUCUUUAUUUUUUCUUUCUUUCUUCAUUUUUUUCUUUCUUUUUCUCUUCUCCUUCAUUCAAUCCCCGACGGCACUUCCCCCCUACUUGGUGCGGCGGUUGACGGCGAGGCGCGGUGGAGCACUCCUCUUCUCCUCCCCUUUUCUGAAAAAAAAAGCUCUCUUUUUUCUUUAUUUUUUCUUCCAAAAUUUUUUUUUGUUUAGGCCUUCCCCAUUUUAGGGGUAAAACACCCCUUUUAUAGUUGAUUUUUGCUUCAUUUUGCAGGUGGUAGGUGGCUAGGGGGGAGGGAGGCCAUGCCCUAGGCCGAUGGCCGGAAAUCACGGGGGUAGGUGUGCAAGUUGCUGCCAGAAGGACUAAACUGUAAUCGUAGCAAAACUUUUGGGGCCAAUGUGUAAUUUUAAGAAAAUUUAGGGGUCAAAAUAUAAUUUAAAAAAACCUAGUGGAUAAAACAUAAUUUCAAGAAAAUUUAGGGGUCAAAAUGCAAUUUCAAAAAAUUUAGGGGACGAAAUGUAAUUUUUUUUAAAAACGCAAAUUCGUCCCGGACAAAAUUCAGUGAUUAUAGCUGCCCCUCUUUGCUCAUUGCUGUGAAAUAGGGAUAGAGCAAAGACUUUAAAAGCACUGAAUUUUGUUCGACUAUCCAAAAUUUCUUUUUUAUUUGACAAAUAGAAAUCGUGAAAAGCUCGGCGUGCGAUCCUUUUUUUUUGAGACACAUAAAUUGAAAAAUAUAUCGACGUGUGACUUGAGGCUGAACUCACCUCUAGCAAUAUGAGUUGAUUUUUUUUGAAAGAACAGAAAUUUUAAAAAAAUACCUCGAUAUGAGCCUGAUGCUCAACUCACCUUUCACAAUAUGAGUUGAUUGUUUGAAAAGCAUAAAUUGAAAAUUACCUCAGCGUGACCCGAGGCUCAACUCACCUCUCGCAAUAUGAGUUGAUUUUUUUGGAGAAAACAAAAAUUGAAAAAUACCUCAGCAUGUGCCCGAGGCUCAACUCACCUCUCUUAAUAUGAGUUGAUUUUUUUUGAAAAGCAGAAAUUAAAAAAUACCUCAGCGUGUGACCCAAGGCUCAACUCACCUCUCGCAAUAUGAGUUGAUUUUUUUAAAAAUAGAAAUUUAAAUGAAAUACCUCGGCAUGUGACCCGAGGCUCAACUCACCUCUCGCAAUAUGAGUUGAUUUUUUUUUUAAAAACAGAAAUUGAAAAAUACCUCAGCGUGACCCGAGGCUCAACUCACCUCUCGCAAUAUGAGUUAAUUUUUUUGGAAAAAAUAGAAAUUUAAAAGAAAUACCUCGACAUGUGUCCGAGGCUCAACUCACCUCUCGUAAUAUGAGUUAAUUUUUUUGGAAAAAAUAGAAUUUUAAAAGAAAUAUCUCGACAUGUGUCCGAGGCUCAACUCACCUCUUGUAAUAUGAGUUGACUUUUGAAAAAACAGAAAUUUAAAAGAAAUACCUCGGCAUGACCCGAGGCUCAACUCACCUCUCGCAUUAUGAGUUGAUUUAAAAAAAAACAGAAAUUGAAAAAUAUUUCUUGAAAGAAAUAAGGUUUCAAAAAACAUCAGGUGAAACUAAAAGCCUUUUUCUUCAUUGAUUCUGUGCAGUGUUCUCCCAGUAUUCCUUCCUCUACUGGUAUACCUGUAUAUGUCAUGUAUGAUGUUAUUAUGAUAUGCACAUGUUUUUCCUAAAUGCUUUCUUGUCUACAUGAUCAUGCCAUGCACCCUGGGCUGUUUAUCACAUGCCCCACUUUUGAUUUUCGUGAGGGUCUGCAUUCAUCUCCUCAAUUCUUGACUUUUCUCUCCAGUUUUGUACUCAUCCUCAAGUUCUGUGAGUAAUCCACAUCUUCGUAUACCACCUUCCUACCCCCUUGUUGAACUUUGUUCUUCCUUCAGGGUCAUUGUAUUUAUCAAAUUCUCAUCCAGGUAAUGCUCAACAUUCCUUUUGUUUAGAGUAUGUCAUCUUACUAUUUAUCAUUUAAAUGAAUCAAACACGAGAUGUAUGAAAAAUGGAAAAGUAGGAAUAAAAGAAAGACCUCACAUUCAUUUUUUUUUAAAAGCAACAAACAAAAAAUUGACAAGGAAAGUUGAACAAAUGAAUCGUCAUAAAGAAAAGAAAGUGAAUUCAAUGGCCAGAAAUGCUCUAGAUAUCCAACGCAUGAACUUUUCCACGUUUCUUCAUCCUGGUUCUUCUCGAGCACGACUUCUUGUGUAGAAGAUUUCGAGCUUCUGAGAAUGCUUCAAAUAUUGUGACUUCGUCAUUCAACUUCCCGCUCAAGUCGUUUUGCUCAUUUAUGUUCGAGCCCAUUUCAUUAGGACGCCAUUUCGGGUUUUCAUCCUAAUCCUUUUUUUUAUCAAUACGCCCUUUUCGGGUUUUCAUCUUGAUUUUUCAUUUUUUGUUUUUUUAGGCAUAAUAUUUCUUCAUAGCAUCUGAGUUAAUUGGAUUAGGUAAUUCUUUCCCAUUCAUCUCAGUGAGAAUCAGAGCCCCUCCCGAGAAUGCCUUUUUUACAACAUAUGACCCUUCCCAAUUUGGUGACCAUUUUCCUCGAAAGUAUUUUUGUAUCGGGAGGAUCUUUCUUAGUACCAGUUCCCCUUCGCGGAAUUCUCUUGGCCGCACCCUUUUAUCAUGGGCCGUGAUCAUUCUUUUCUGAUACAUCUGUCCAUAACAAAUUGCCUUCAAGCGUUUCCCUUCAAUAAGGUUUAGCUGAUCAUAUCGAGCUCGAACCCACUCUGAUUCUUCUAACUUUGUCUCCAUCAAGACGCGCAGGGAUGGGAUCUCUACUUCGAUAGGCAGAACGGCCUCCAUCCCGUAGACCAGAGAAAAAGGAGUUUCCCCUGUAGACGUCUGUACAGAGGUGCGAUAUACAUACAAAGCAAAUGGUAGCUUCUCGUGCCAGUUUUUAUAUGUCUCAGUCAUCUUCCCGAGAAUCCUCUUAAUGUUUUUGUUGGCCGCUUCGACAGUUCCGUUCAUUUUCUGGCGAUAGGGUGAGGAAUUAUGAUGCUUUAUCUGGAAUUGCUCACACACUUCUUUUAUCAUCUUAUUGUUCAAAUUUAAAGCAUUAUCUGAAAUGAUUCUUUCAGGCAGACCAUAUCGACAUAUGAUCUCCUUUUUUAUGAACCUACAGACUGCAGCCUUCAUCACAUUAGCAAACGAAGUGGCUUCUACCCAUUUUGUGAAGUAGUCUAUAACUACAAAGAUGAAUCGAUGUCCAUUGGAAGCUUUCAGGGAAAUUGGCCCUAUAACAUCCAUGCCCCACAUAGAAAAUGGCCACGGAGAAAUCAUGACAUGAAGGGGCGACGGAGCUGCAUGAAUUUUAUCACUAUAAAUUUGACAUUUGUGGCACUUUCGUGCGUAGCCAAUGCAAUCCCUUUCCAUCGUCAGCCAAUAAUAACCAAGUCUCAUAAUCUGCUUGGCCAUGGUGAAACCACUAGCAUGCGUUCCACAAAUUCCUUCAUGAACCUCCUCAAGUAUCUUUCUAGCUUCAACAGCGUCCACGCACCUCAGGAGCACUUGAUCUUUUCCCCUUUUGUAUAGAAUACCCCCGUCGAGAACAAAUCCAAUAGCCAUUCUUCUAAUUGCUUUUUUGUCAUUCUCGUUUGCCUGCUCGGGGUACCUUUGAUUCUUGAUAUACUCUAAGAUAUCAUGGAACCAUGGUCGUCCAUCUGACUCCUCCUCAAUACUAAAACAAUGUGCAGGGGUCUCAUAUAUACUCAUUUGGAUGGGCAUUAUCUCAGUUUCUCUGUUUGCUUUGAACAUCGAAGCCAAGGUGGCUAGGGCAUCAGCCAAUUGGUUCUCUUCUCGUGGAAAGUAAUUAAAAGUCACUUCUUUGAAUUCUUUGACCAAUUUCACAACGAGAUCAUGAUACCUGACUAAUUUUGGAUCUCUCACUUCCCAAUCUCCACGAAUUUCAUAAAUGACUAAUGCUGAGUCCCCGUGUACCUCUAAAAUUUCAAUUUUCCUCCUGAUAGCUGCACGGAGUCGCAUGAUGCAAGCUUCAUACUCUACUAUAUUAUUGGUACAGAAGAAAUUCAAUCUGGCAGUAAGCGGGUAAUGGUCCCCUUUAGGUGACACUAAGACUGCUCCGAUUCCAUGCCCCAAUGCAUUUGAUGCACCAUCGAAGCUCAUCUUCCAUGAUUUCUCUUUUGAUGACUCACCCUCUUUUUCUGAAAUGCACAUCAAGUCUUCAUCUGGGAAAUUAAAUCUCAAAGGCUCGUAUUCUUCUGCUAUUCGACUUGCCAAGAAGUCAGCUAUUGCGCUUCCCUUUAUUGACUUUUGGCUCACAUAUGUAAUGUCAUACUCAGUCAGUAGGAUCUGCCAUCGUGCCAUUCUUCCUGAGAGUGCCAGUGACUCCAUCAUGUACUUUAUUGGGUCUAUUUUCGAAAUUAACCAUGUCGUAUGAUACAACAUGUAUUGUCUGAGCCUUCGAACCGUCCAAAUCAACGCACAACAAAUUUUUUCAAUUGGAGGGUACUUUGCUUCAUACUCUGUGAACUUUUUGCUGAGGUAGUAAAUUGCCUUUUCUCUUUUCCCCGACUCAUCAGGUUGUCCCAGAACGUAACCCAUUGAGUUUUCAAACAUGGUCAGGUACAAUAUUAAGGGUUUUCCAGAGGUCGACGGUACUAGUACCGGAGGAUUAGAUAGAUACUGUUUUAUCUUGUCGAAGGCCACUUGGCACUCCUCGUUCCAUUCUCCCGAAUUAUGUUUUCGAAGGAGUCAAAAAAUUGGGUCACACUGAUUGGUAAGUUGGGCAAUGGAUCGAGCAAUGUAAUUCAACCUUCCUAAAUAUCCUCUAACUUCCUUUUGUGUGCGCGGGGGAGGCAAUUAUUGUAUAGUUUUUAUCUUAUCUGGAUCAACCUCGAUACUUCUCUCACCGAUAAUGAAACCUAGCAGUUUUCCUAAAGUAGCCCCAAACGUACAUUUGGCCGGGUUAAGCUUCAACUGAAACUUUCUUAACCUUUUGAACAGCUUCUUGAGAUUACCAACAUGCUCUUUUUCUUCCCGAGAUUUGGCAAUCAUAUCAUCGACAUAAACUUUUAUUUCUUUGUGCAUCAUAUCAUGGAACAACUUUACCAUAGCUCUAUGAUAUGUUACCCCAGCAUUCUUUAAUCCGAACGGCAUUACCUUAUAGCAGAAGGUUCCCCACAUUGUUAUGAAUGUAGUUUUCUCCAUGUCCUCGGGAGCCAUCUUUAUCUGGUUAUAACUUGAGAAGCCAUCCAUGAAAGAAAAUAGAGAAUGCUUUGUCGUAUUAUCCACCAAAGCGUCGAUGUGUGGUAAAGGAAAGUUAUCCUUAGGGCUUGCUUGAUUCAGAUCACGAUAAUCCACGUACAUUCACACUUUGCCAUCUUUCUUCGGCACUGGGACUAUAUUAGCUACCCAUUCUGGAUACUUGGAGACUUGUAGGAAGCCAGCGUCAAAUUGUUUCUUGACUUCUUCUUUUAUCUUCAACAGCAUUUCAGGUCUCAUCCUUCUUAGCUUUUGUUGAACAGGUUUGCAUUCUGGUUUCAGUGGGAGCUUAUGGACCACAAUAUAUGUGUUCAAACCUGGCAUAUCCUGAUAAGUCCAGGCAAACACAUCAUUGUUCUCAUGGAGCAAGGCGAUCAAAUCCCACCUGAUGUUUUCUGAAAUGGAAAUCCCAAUCUUCACUUCUUGUUUCUUUUCUCCACUCCCCAAGUUCACUGUCUCAACAGAUUCUUGAUGGGGUAAAAUCUGUUUCUCUUAUUGUUCAACCAUUCUCAGUAAGUUAGAAGGCGGGACAUAAUUUUCAGCAUCUUCCUCGGCUUUGAAUUCUCCUAAACAAAUAACCUUCUCGAAAUUAAUUUUAGGACUUGUAACGGGAUUGUUCAUGCCGUGGAUAUCUGAGCACCUGAAAGGUGAAUGGGAAAGAAAACUAUGGAGGAGUAUCAAAGUAUUGGAAUCAACACACACAAUGAGAUACAUGGAGAGAAAGGAUAUGAAGCGAUGGGGGUAAUUAUGAAACUAAUAGAAAUGAAAAGAUCAUGACAAAAUGCAUCUUCAUUAAUGUUCAUUGAAAUGAUAAAGAGAAAACAUAAGCUCUUACAAAAGGAAUCCCACUAUUUAGGGGCACACAAAAUAAAUGGAGAAGUAACAUUGGGCAUUACUCUGGAGAGGACUUAGAAAUUACAAGAAGGUCCACAACAGUCCAAUUGUUCAAAACAUAUCCUGGAGGACAGGGGUGUAUCAUUGAAACAUCCUCACUCUCGUUGAGCUCAGCAUCCAUAGUUCUAGCUCUUAAAUGCGUUCUGUAAGGAUGACGUGAUUCCAGACUUGUAGUGUCACAACUGUGGAUUAUGCGGUUCUAGCCUUAGUGAAUGGUUAGGGUGAUAUGUACAUGCAAUGCAUGAAUGAAUAAAUGAAUGAAUGAAUGACAAGUGAAUGUUAGUCAUGAAUAAAUAUACAAGAAUUUGGUGUUGAUUUCAAGAUAGCCCCAUAUUUUGGCAUUUCAUUAAUCAAAAGAGCCCAUUACAAAAUAAUUUUCCAUUUUAGACUUAACAGUUACACAAAUUCUCUAGCCACAUCGCCUUAUUUCUUUAUACGUUUUAGGAACUCCAAUAUGCUUGACCUUUGGUUUGGAGGGUAUUGACAACUGAGAACUUCAGCUUCAUCAGAUAAUUGCACUAUUUGCACAGCCGCCUUGCGAAUUUCAUUGAUCAAACUGCCAAAAUGCAUGUCCUUUUCUUGGAGGGCUCUCUCGUAGGCAUGAAUGUCUCUGUCAUGGUGACCAUUCUUCCCUUCCAGAGCUCUUAGGAGGUCAUCCAAAUGUUGCUGAUGAGCCUGUAGUGUACUUUCUAGACUUCAGAUUUUUCCUUUUAGCUCAUGACGCUCAGACUGACUAGCCGCUAAUUCUGCAGACACAGUUUCGUAUUCAACAUUUUUCUUCCUCAACUCUAUCAUAGCACGUGCAGCUCUUUCCUUAUCCUUCUUCGCUUUGGCUUUCCAGAAUUCCAUCCCACCUUUGAUAUUACUUAAUUCCUCCUUCCAUUCUACCGAUGAUUUGCCUAAUCCACUAUUCCUUAUAGUGCCUCUUAAUUUCUUAUUUUCCAAAUAAAGGUCUCUUAAAUCCUUUCUCGUGACCUCAACUUCUUUUUGGACCUUUUCAGUUCUGAAUUUUUCAAUUUGAAUGUCAAUCUUCAGCUGGUAGUUUUCCUCUUGAAGAGAACUAAUAUCUCGUAAUAGUUUAGCUUUUUCAUGUUCAAAUUCAUGUCUUGCCAAUUCUAGCUCGGACAGUAUUUCCUUUGAGAACGGAUUCUGGUAAGCAACGCCAAUCAGCAAAGUUAGUUGACUCUUCAGUCGUCGUUGCCUCCACAUGUCAUAAUAUACAGUGAUAGUAUCAGCAUAGAGGGCCAACUCCAUUGGGUAGAUUUUCCUCCAAGAAUUCGCGGUAUCUCGCACCAUUUUCAUGUAACCCUCACCCGUAAAGGCAAACUUCGAUUGUGCCAAUCCAUCAGUAACCGGUACAAACUGUCACGAAGUGAAUUGUCUCUAAACCAUCAACGUUGCAUAUCCAACUCCUCCCCAUAAUCCUAGCAAAGACACCUAGUCUUGGUUCUCACACUUGUAUAACAAGACAGAAGGACAAAUCCAAGGUGCUCUCCAAGUUAUAUCUUCAGCACAGAGGUUCUGAAACCGAGACCCAGUGUUGUUCAGUGACAUCCCUUGGCCAAUCCUUUUCAAUGUGUGCUUCUAACAGAGCGAAUGUUUUUGAGAACAUAUGGAAUGGUGUGCGCUCCACUUUCCAAAAGUGGCUAAAAAUCCAAACAUUAAGUAACUGAGCGCAUCCGAUAAAACACCCUUCCCCUUUCUUCCUACAAGCAUUUAGGGAUCUAAAAGUCUCGGCUAAUAUGGUUGGGACAGGGUUGAUUCCUUGCUUUAACUUUUCAAAGAAAUCCACUACCGCGACUUCAAUGUGCCCGAGAACCUUUGGGAAUAUGACUAGUCCAUAAAUAGCCAAGACAAACAGAUCUACUUUUUUCAUAACAUCUGGAUGAUUCUGAACUAACUCCCGAAGAGAAAACCAUGGAACACAACUGACUUCAUUCUUCUUCUUUAUCUAUUUUUCAGCCCAUGUAUCUGUCAUCCCCGUCAACUUCAUUAACUUAUUCUUGAAGGUCAUUAGUUUAGGCUCCUUCACAUAUAUCUUAUUGAAUUGUACAUCGUCGAUGCGAAGCAGGGCAACAUACUCUUCUAUAGUCGGAGUCAUAUCUUCUUGAUUGAAAGUGAAACAUUGAUAGGCUGGGUCCCAGAAUCGAACCAUGGCUUGAAUCAACUGCUCGUUCACAUUGAUUGCUAUCAAGUGAGGUAUAUCCCUAUAUUUUUCAGUGAAAAUGUCUCUAGUAUCUGAGUCUCACUGCUUCCAAAUCCUAGUCAAGUCUUCAAGAUCAUUCUGACGCACAUUCGAGGUCAUACGCUCGGGAAGAUCAGAAGUGUAUCCUUCCUUUAAACUGUCCCCUUUCAUUUUUUGAGUCCUCAAAGACAAAUCUUAAACUACAACAUUUUUCUCGGUUACUCGUGCAAUUGACUCCUCCAUCAGAAACCCGUUUUUGGCAACCAAUCUCUAAUCAACACCUUUCUAAUAAAAUGUCUAUGAUCAUGAUGAAAAACAAAAUGAAGACAAAUAAACUUAGGUUAGGGAUCACAACAGAUAUAAACAGAAGGGAAAAAAAAGAAAAUAAAGACGAUGGAAAAUUUAACAAAUUAAGCUAUCCAAUCAUGCAAUUUGGAGGAACAAACCCGCAUCAUUUUUUUUGCCUUAACAUGCUUUACAAAAUAAACUUACCCCACAUGAUAAUCUGCCCGAUCCAAUUUAUUAAACAGACUCAAUUCAUCUGCAGAUAAGUGUAAAAGAAAUAAAAGGUAAGAGACGUUUCUUCCGUGUACUUAUUUUGUAGACUAUUCAACGGAUAGAGGUUCGGCAUGGCUCUGAUUGGGUGGCUCAUAUGGUUCACUAUAUAUGGUUUCGAUUCUAGAGACGCACUCGAAUUGUCCAUACUGUCACCUACUAAAGUUAGUACGGAGCCUCGGUUAUCACCCGUCAUGGGCUUGCGAGCUCAAUUCGAGGGAUUACAUUUACUUAUGCUUAUGCGGAGAGACGAGUUAACUCACGAAAGCAUAAGUCAUAUGUAACCCGAAAGUAAUUCACUAGCCUGUGCGGAGGGACGAGUUAACUCACGAAGGCGUAGCGUUUACUUCCAUUUAAACGGAUGGAGCCCGAGUAGAGAGCUUAUGUUAUGCAAGAAUGCAAGUGCACGGUGUGUGGGGAGAAACUCACAAACCUUUUAUUUUUUAUUUUUCUAAAAAAAAACAAACUAAAAAAAAUCGUAAAACUUAGAGCUGAAAAAAAACAGAAAAAUAAAACAAGUUAGAAAAAUAUUAAUGCAAAUGCAUGACAUUUCAAAAAUAAAAUUCAAGGAUCAUGAUUAAAAAUUAAUUUGAACAAUGGAUUUUUUAAAAAUUUAACAACACGCAUUUAACAUCAGACUCGACUCUCAAAAAAAUUCCCCAGUAGAGUCGCCAGCUGUAGCGGCCUAAAAUUUUGGGCUCGGGCGCUAGUCGAAGUAAUUAUUGAAAACUUGAAAACAGUAUCUCGAUUUUAUUUGAAAAAGGAGUCGCCACCGAUCUUUUUUUCUAGGUGUGAUCGGACAACUAACAAAUUCUCUUUUUUUAAAAGAAAAAUUAUUUUUCAAAAUUUUCUAAAAAAGAGGUAAUUUUAGGUCUACGUGAAAAUCAAGAGAAAAUUAGAGUUCGGGAGUCGGUUACGUGCGAGGAAGGUAUUAGCACCCUCGCGACGCCCAAAAUUGGUAUCUCGUUAAACGCAUGUUGUCUUAAUUUUCAAAAAAUACGAAUUCAAUUUAAUAUUUACUCGUGAUCCGAUUGAAACAUGAGAAUUUUUUUUAAAAAAAAGAGAAAUUUGAAACACGAUUUUUUUUAAAAAAACACGAAAAUUUUUGAAUCACGAGAAUUUUUGAAAACCCGAAAAUUUUUGGAAACACGAAGAUUUUUGAAACACGACAAUUUUUGAAACACAAGAAAUUUUUUUUAAAGUGCAAAAUUUUUUAAAACACUGAAAUUUGUGAAACACGAGAAUUGUUGAAAACACGAAAAUUUUUGAAAAUAUGAAAAUAUUUGAAAACGCGAAAAUUUUUGAAACACAAAAAUUUUUAGAAAACACGAAAACUUUUUGAAUCACUAGAAUUUUGAAAACACGUAAAUUUUUGAAACACCGGAAUUUUUGAAAACAUGUUGAGUUUUUUUUUACACAAAAUUUUCGAUUUUUUUAUUAAGCACGUAUUAUAUUUAACACGAACCGGUGAUAUUCAUUCAACAUAGCAAUGAAAUCAACGAAUUAGUGUCAAACCGUUUCGUUGCCUUAUUUUUUGAAAACGCGAAUAUAUAUUUUUUAUGACACGAGAAAAAAAAUUUUGAAGACAUAAAAAUUUUGAAACACAAGAAUUUUUUUUGAAAACACGAAAUUUUUUGAAUAUUUUUUUAUUUUUAAAAGGGCGUAUCGAGUUUAAUGCAAACCGGUGAAAUUCACCCAGCAUAGCGAUGAAAUUAACGAUUUAAUGUGAAAUCGAUUCGUUGCCUUAUUUAUUAAAAUUAUUUAAAAUAAAAUAAAAUUGAAAUUAAAUUAAAUUAAAAAUAUAAAUACAAAAAUAUAAAAAUACAUAAAGUACUAAUAAUAUAAAAAUACGAGUAUUAAAUUAAAAGCGAAAUAAACGAAAUUACCGAAAAUGUCCAAAACACGAGCUUGGUCGAACGGGUUACGCAAAUUGAAACCUUUUCUCUUUUUUCUUCUUCUUUUUUUUUUCUUUCUUUCUCUUCUUUUUCUUUUUUGGCCUGUUGGGCCUGCACACCUGCUGGCUGCUGUUGGGCUGCCUGCGCACUGGGCCUGGCUGCUGGACUGGUGCGUUGGGCUUUGGGUUGCUUCUUUUCCCUUUUUUUUCUGCUUUGUUUGUUUUUUUUUCUGGGCUGCUUUGGGCUGCUGGGCUGCUACUGUGGCCUGCUAAUCUGCUGGUGCUGUCGGGCCGGGUCACGGGUCAUACGGGUCGGUUCGGGUCGGACCGACCCGACUAUUAAAAAUAAUUUUUCUGUUCAUUUUUCUUCUUCUUUCUUCUUCCUCUUUUCUUCUUUCUUCUUUCUUCUUUCUUUCUUUCUUCUUUUUUUCUUUCUUUCUUUUUCUCUUCUCCUUCGUUCAACCCCCGACGGCGCUUCCCCCCAGCUUGGUGUGGCGGUUGACGGCGGGGCGCGGUGGAGCACUCCUCUUCUCCUCCCCUUUUCUGAAAAGAAAGCUCUCUUUUUUCUUUAUUUUUUCUUCCAAAAUUUUUUUUCGUUCGAGCCUUCCCCAUUUUAGGGGUAAAACACGCCUUUUAUAAUUUAUUUUUGCUUCAUUUUGCAGGUGGUAGGUGGCUAGGGGAGAGGGAGGUCAUGCCCUAGGCCGGUGGCUGGAAAUCACAGGGGUAGGUGUGCAAGUUGCUGCCAGAAGGACUAAACUGCAAUUGCAGCAAAAAUUUUGGGGCCAAAGUGUAAUUUUGAGAAAAUUUAGGGGUCAAAAUAUAAUUUUGAAACAGAAGUAAGGUAAAACGGUAAGUGUUGAAACAGAAAAUAAAAGAAAUGUAGCCGCUGUGGGUCUUAUGGAAUUAGUAUGAUUUAACGAUGAUGGGGUGUUAUGGUGCUUUGGAAUCAUCGUUUUUUUUAAGAUGAUUUGAUUUGGUGAAAGGGAGAGGGCCCGAUGUGGGUAUUUGGUUGCAUCUUUAUUGUUGUACAAAAAUCUUGCUAGUUGGAGGAUCAACUUUCCUUUUAAUUUUAAUAAAAAUUAUAUAUGAACUUGUGAACUUGUAUUGAGUCGCUCUUGCAAGUCAAUGCAGCAACCAAGAACCAUAUUAUUAAUACCCAGCUAAGAUCGUGGACAUUUUCUACUCUAUAUCUUUCUCCUAAAUGCUUCAUUCCAGUAAAAGUGCUGCAAUUCCUACGGCAAUGGCACCUCUGCCGAUAAUUACAUGGAAACACUCCCAAAUUAAUCUCUUUCUGGAAGCGUCCUCCCCAUUAGCAGGUUUCUCCAGUCUGAGAUAUGCAUUCAUUGGUUGCACAGAGGCAAAAACUAUGGCAGCAAUACCAAGCUUAACAUGUAACGAGCUGACAUAGAAACCCCGAAGUUCGGCAACUGCAAAAAGAACAUCAAGUAGGAUAAUUGCUAAUCCUGAAUAUUGUAGGUAAAUAUGAAUUUGGUACCAUCCAUCACCCUUUACAUGUUUUAGGUAUCUAAACACAUAUAAUUAAAUAUAAAGUAUAUAUUAUAAAAACGUACAAAAUAUAAUUAUUUAUAUAUAUUUAUCUAAAUAAUAUUAUAUGUGCUUAUAUUUAAUUAUAAUGAUAAGGCUCAAAUAUGGAUUUAGCCCCUCAAACUUGACACCUCCUCCCAUGUUGGUACUUAUGAUUUUUUUGUCCCAAGUUGGUACCUAAAUUUUCAUUCCCUCAAGGGUUUUGUUACAAUAUUAAAUAUAGGACACAUGACACUCUUAGGAUGCCAUAAUCUAUUUUUUUUAUAAAAAUAUAAUAAAAAAUUUAAAAGAAACUAUAUGAAAUUUAUAUAUUUUUUAAAAUAUAAAAGAAAUUAUAAAUUAUAAAAAUACAUGUAACUAAAAAAUUAAAAAUAUUACAAAAAAAAUCUAAAAUUCAAGUUGGAAAAAUCGAAAACCUAGAAAAUUUACACAUUUUUCUAAAUGAAUUGCAAAUAAAUUAGAUGAACAUAAAUUUUAUAAUAAAUUUUAUACUUAGAGAUGGGUGCAAAUUAUUACACGAUUUUUCAAGUUAAUAAGAAUGCAAAAGAUGAUGACUUGAAAAUGGCUUACAAGAAGCUUUUUUGUUUUCCUUUUUUGUUAAUUAUUUGCUAGGUGAUGGGAAAAUUUGGGUUCCUAUUGAAAAUGCUAUAAAAACCACAAGUUUACUAAGUUGCGGGGGUUUUGAGCUUUUGGGUUUAUCAAAAUCACACACACAUAUAAAUUUGUCAGCAUUUAGUUAUAUGUGUUUAAAUAUAAUUAUUUUUUAUAUUUAAUUAUAUGUGUUUGAAAAUAAAGUUGAUAGAAUUUGUAAAUACGGAGUGUGAAAUUUAUUGAAUUAUUUAGAAUAAGAAUCAAAUUGAUAGAAUGUGUAAGUAUUAAGAAAUAAACGUAUUAUUAUGCCAGUUGGAAAAGGCAACAUCAUCACUUCCGUUAACUAUUUAACGGAGAGUGAUCAAAAUAGAAAUAAUCUUAAGUGUGAGUGACCAAAAUAGAAAUAAUAUAAAUGUAAGUGACUAAAUUAAAAAAAUUCAUAGUUGGGUGACUAAUUCUAUAGUUUACCCAAGAUGGUAGGAGCAAUUAGGAUUAAUUCCACCAAACAUCUCAAACUAUUACUCAUAUUUUAAAUUGAACCCUAAACUUGUACACAUUCUAAUUAAAUUACUCAAAUAGAAUGUGAUAAUGUGUUAUGCUAUUAUUCAUCGAUAGUGCAUAGAACUUAUGCACCAACAAUGCAUCAAAUAUUAUCAUUAAAAGAAAAUGUAUAAAAUAAGUUUUAUACCAUCUAUAAUUUGUAAAAAAAAAAAUUCAAUAAAAAAUAUAAAAAUACAUCUAUAAUUUCACAAAAAGAAUUACAUAUCUAUAAUAUCUUUUUAUAAAUUCAAUUCCAAAUCUCCUGUAAUAAAUCAACCUCACAAAUCUGAUUGAGGUUAAAAAGAAAGAAUGCAUGUAUUGUGCAAUUAAAACCAUGAUCCAUAUUCAAUUCUAAAGUAUUGAACAUCUAAUUUUGCAUUAUUUUACCUCCCUUGAUUCUUCACAAACUCUUUGGAAUAAAUUAACCAUCUAUUCCUUAUUUCAAUUUUAUUAAAAAGCUAGGUUCCCAUAAAGACAGUCUUUACAAACUAGUGCACCUACCGUAAACACAUCAGGGAACAUUGCCAUGAGAGAGGACCUAAGAAAACAUAAUACAAACUACAUAACAUACAAUCAAGCACCUACACAAAAUGUUUAUUAAACAGCUACAGAAAAAGGCCUGCAUACCACCAAGCAAUGAAGUUUUCUGUUCUAAUCAACGUUCUCUACCUUUUUGCAAAUCUUUGUCGGACUCGCUCCACGAUCCUAAUCAACCACCAUGGUUUUCCAGUCGUGAAUACAAUGUAUGCCAUGCUCAUUCCCAGCACCAACCCACAUCCAUACCCCAUCAAUAUUGAAAAUUUCCAAUUCAAUUCAUCACCAUCAUCAUCUCUAUCAAAUUUCGCUGGAGUUUCCUCAUCAGUACCACAGUUUUUUGAUAAUGGAAAACCACAUAAAUCCGAAUUUCCCAUGUAGGAAUCUUUAGUAAAAGUAUCAAAUUGUUUGCCUUGAGGAAUGGGUCCCUUGAGACUAUUUUGAGAAAGGUUUAACACCUCUAAGAAUCCAAGAUUUUUUAACUCUGUUGGAAUUCUUCCUUCCAGCUUAUUUGAUGAGAGAUCUAAUGAUUCAAGCUCUGACAAAUUACCUAAAGAUGAUGGGAUAGGACCUAUUAAACAGUUAUGGGAGAGGUUUAGGACAAGAAGUAAAUGAAGCUCACCAAGUAUUUUUGGAAUUUCUCCCCUAAAUUGGUUACUAGAAAGGUCAAUAACCGUCCAAAUGGAUAAUAGUGAUUCAAACUUUAUUUCCAGCCCUUUUGCUGUAACAGAUAAACCAGAAGCAUAAUCCACCCAAAAUACACCAAAUGCAUCUUUCGUGGGCUUUACUUCUCUCAUGUAAUUUGGUUCAACAUUCUUUCCAUACUCAUCUCUAAUGGCAUGCAUAUGCUCAAAAAAAGGAGUAGGUAAGUAGCCACUAAAAUUAUUGUGAGAAAGAUCAAUGAUUCGCAAUUUAGUUAAAGAAACUGUAAUAUCAAAGCUCUCUAUUUGGCCGUAAAAUCUAUUCGACCUCAAGAUAAGAACUUGCAGCUGAUCCAAAUUUCCUAACCAACUUGGGAAAGUGUCAUUCAAAUUGUUGUUUCCAACAUUGAGAAGAUUUAAACCUUUGCAAUUACCCAAGGAUCGUGGUAGUGACCCUUCUAAUUCAUUGUUGUUGAUGCCUAAACUUCUCAACAUGCAACCUUUAGCAAAAUUUUCUGGUAUUUGACCAUGAAAAUUAUUAUUCCCUAGAUCAACUGCUGUGAGAGAAGAACUCAUGUUUCCGAUGCACUUUGGAAUUGUUCCCUCCAAAUUAUUCUCAUCUAAAGCCAUAACCUUAAGGGAAGUCAAAUUGCAUACUGAAGAAGGGAUUUCUCCAAUUAAGUUAUUAGUUGAAACUGCAUACCAUUGCAAUAAAGGUGGUGGUGUUGGAAUUCGACCUUAGAGAUAAAAUUGAAAAUGAGAUAUUAGGAGUUUGAAGAUUCUUUGGAAUAUAAAUUAUAAAAUAACUAUAUUUAUGAUGUAUUACAUGCUUGAUUAAUUUACUACACUACUUCUAACCAUUUUUACAUGCAUCACAACAACCUUUAAGUUGUAAUCUAUUGAAGGAAACUACUACUAUCUUCCAGAGAAACUUAAAAGUAAAAAGGGAUUGCAUAAAUGUAUAAAAAUAGAAGGAAAAAAAAUAUCAAACUAUACUUAAUAGUUUAUUAUAAAAGAGAUAACCAUUUAAUAUCUAACUUAUAUUUCAUUUUUUUAGUGUUUAUUAUUAUUUUUUGUACUUUUAUGUAUAUUUUAUAAUUUAUUAUUGGGGUUCACGGUUGUUAUUGUCAAGAAUAUCUUGAAUCUAUUAUAGAUGUAGAUUAUAAAUUGUAGACAAAUAUUUUGGUUGGGUUAGCAAAGCUGAAAAAGUUGAGAAUAAUAAAUUUUUAAAAUUUUAAAUUUAAGGUGAAAAAUUAAAUCCUAAUUGUUUAAAUAUCUAUAUGUAAUUAGUGAAUAAGAAUUGCGCAGAAUGGCGUAAAAGAAAAAUAAAAUGAAAGAAUUUAAAAUAUAAUUUUUAAGUUUAUAUCACGUGUCCUAUUAUAAUUGAAACUUAUUAUGGAAUUCACUAUUACUGACUUGAAGCUCGAGUAGGUUCAAGUUAUUGACCCACAACCCAAGUAGACUUAAAGGAAUUUGGGUCGGGCCCCACAAAGUGGGCAUAUUGGAGUUCGCACAUCCAAUUCGUAGGUAUGCUAGAGCUCGUAGGCCUAGCUUACAAGACAAGCCCGCACAUUGAGUUCACACGUCUCUAUAUGAUCGCAAGGAGAGGUGCUAAGUCAAGCACGUGGUCCAUGAACAUGUGUUAAGUCUAGAACAAGAUACGUGUUAACAUACAUGAAGCUUGUCUAAGACGUCAUUUCAGUGAGUGUGGUGCAAUGAGUGUGGUCAAACUUUCGAUUGACCAUAGUAGACACAAAGAGAAAAUACUCAACAAUUUAGUGCAGUGAGUGUGGUCAAACUUUCGAUUGACAGAUUUUCAGCUUGUAACAAUCAAAAUAGCUCACCCAAAUUAAAAUUUCCCCAUCAAUGUUUUGUCAGGAUAAGUUGCUAGUAUUAUAUUGUUGCUAGUAUUAUACAAAACAAAAAGUCACAAAAGUGAGAGAAAACCCAGUCAUCAGCACACCAAAACUCGUUAAGUCAAUCAUAGUUGCUAGUAUUAUAUUGUAUCUUCUUACAUCGAGAGAUAAGGUAGGUGAGAAAGGGAGAUAAAAGACGGUGAGCUUGGAUGGGACAUUAAGGGGGAAGAGAGGAAAAAAUGUUAUGUGUCUAAUUAUUUCUAGUGUUUGAACCGUUUUGAGUCAUAUCUAUCUUGGAACUCAUACCGUCCUAAGCCUUAGAACAUUACAAGCUUAGAAGACCAAUGUGUUUCCUAUGCAAUAAUAUCAACUAUGGCUUAGCAACAACUAAAUCAAGACAUAAACAAUAAGGCAAAUCUAAAAGGUAAAAAGGAAUAGCUAAUUAAAAGUAGUGUGUGAUUCAAAAGGUAGACGGUGAACUUAGGAUGUGGAGUUCCAAUAAAUACCUAAACUUUUGGCAAUUCAAAUAGUUUCUUUAUAAAAGUUUGUAAAUAUUUGAGUCUUAUUUGUAUUAAGAAAUACAUAAUUUUAAGCGGUCUAAUAAUGAAAAUAUUAUAUUAAGCUUUAGUAGAGUUUAAUUAUAUAUAUUAUAAGAAUAGUCUUCCGUGUAUUUAUCCAUUUAAUUUAAUUUUUUUAUUUUGGUCCCUUGGAACGGUGCGUUUAGGGGGUAUGGGGAUAAUUUCCUAGGUCCCUGUCCAUUUUCACGCAUUUAAUUUUAGUCCUUUAUUCUGUUUUAUUGUUUAAUUUAUUUAUUUUAUUAUGAUUUAUACUUUUAAUUUCACUUAAAUUUCGAUUCACUCCCUUAUUUAUUUAAUUUCAGCCUUUCAUGAAUUUUAUUUAUUUAUUACUUCUUUAUUUUCAUAUACUUAAAAAUUGGAUUGUUUACAUUCUUUUAUUUGUGCAUUUUUUUGCUCAUUUAUUUUAUUUACUUAAAAAGAUUGCAUAAAUUUAAUAACAAAAAGGAGAAUAAAAGAAAUGAAAUUAUACCUGUCAAUUUGUUACUCUGAAGAGAAAGCAUUUGAAGAGAAGUCAAGUUUCCAAUUACAAGAGGAAUUUCACCUGAAACAUAUAAUUAAAUCAGUAAAAAUUAUAAAUAUUUUCCUAGCAAAACCUUAAUUUAUUUGUUGAGCAUAUUAGUGUCCAUUUGAUUUAUUUAUUUUUAGGGGGUAUGUGGAUAAUUUCCUAGUUGGUCCCUGUCCAUUUUCACGCAUUUAAUUUUAGUCCUUUAUUCUGUUUUAUUGUUUAAUUUAUUUAUUUUAUUAUGAUUUAUACUUUUAAUUUCACUUAAAUUUUGAUUCAGUCCCUUAUUUAUUUAAUUUCAGCCUUUCAUGAAUUUUAUUUAUUUAUUACUUCUUUAUUUUCAUAUACUUAAAAAUUGGAUUGUUUACAUUCUUUUAUUUGUGCAUUUUUUUGCUCAUUUAUUUUAUUUACUUAAAAAGAUUGCAUAAAUUUAAUAACAAAAAGGAGAAUAAAAGAAAUGAAAUUAUACCUGUCAAUUUGUUACUCUGAAGAGAAAGCAUUUGAAGAGAAGUCAAGUUUCCAAUUACAAGAGGAAUUUCACCUGAAACAUAUAAUUAAAUUAGUAAAAAUUAUAAAUAUUUUCCUAGCAAAACCUUAAUUUAUUUGUUGAGCAUAUUAGUGUCCAUUUGAUUUAUUUAUUUUUAAAUAUGCAAGUUUUGUUUAAUUUUAUAGUACUUAUGACAACCCAAAAAUAUUUUAAUUACAAUACUCAAAUUGAUAGUUGAAAUGAUGAUGAAAAUUAGAUGGAAUAAAAUAGUUCACGCUUAAUAUUUUUUUUCAAAUAUAGGAUACAUUAGAGGUGAUUAUGGGUCGGGUUCAGGCCGGCUGACUAAGUCAAAAUUUUAGGCCCGUUUUCCCGAGCCCGAAAUAUGGGCCUAAAAAUUUGUCCAAGCCCAGUCCAAAAGAAAAUUGCUAAGCCGAGCCCGACCCUGCCCUGCCCAUAUUAAAUUUUACAACACCAAAAUAGCAUCAAAAACUUGCAAAAUAUAUAUAUAUUUUAUUAAAAAUAAAAAUAUAUAUUUAAUAUAUAAUUCGGGCUAGAUUUAGGCCAAAAAAGUUUUACCCGAAGCCCGGCCCAUUUUAUAAAAUUUCCAAUUUCUGUAGGUAUACUUCCUUCCAAGGAGUUGCUCGACAAUGAUAAAAACUUCAAAUCUUUGCACUUGAAUAAACUAUUUGGAAUUCUACCGGAAAUUUGAUUCCAACUCAAGCCCAACCUUUCUAGUUUUGACAAAUUGCCUAGAGUAGAUGGGAUAACACCAAUGAAGUUGUUAAGGUACAGAGACAAUCUUUGAAGUUUACUAAAGCAACCAAACCAUGAUGGGAUUUCUCCAUUGAAGCUAUUGUUACCAAAGUCCAAAUACUUCAUCCGACGCAAAUUGGUUAACUCAAUGGGUAAAGAGCCAUGGAAACUAUUUUGAUGAAUGUCGAGCCAAGCAAGGAAAGAUAGAUUUCCCAAUUGAGAAGAAAUGGUGCCUGUGAGAUCCAUGCUUGAUAAAUUCAGAGCAGUGACUCUAUGGUGUCUAGAUCCACAUGUGACACCAAUCCAGCUACAAACGGAGGUAGAAGUAGACCAAUUGGUUGUCAAGAAAUUGUAAGGAUCAUGAGUUAUAUGAGAUUUGAGUGCUAGAAAAGCAGAUUGAUCAACGGUGAUGCUAGAAUAUUUUGCAGACAAAAUAACCCCAAAGGUUGCAAAUAGCAGCCCAAACAUAAACGGAGGGAGGAAGACGGUGAUAGUCUCCAAGAGAAAGAGACAAGCAAGGAGGGUGAAGGCAAAGUGGCAAACAAUACAUUAAUUACAUAUUUAUUUUUGCAUAUCUCAUUUUAUUUACUGUCACUAGACACUUUUUAUAUAUAUAAAUUAUUAAAUAUUAAAUUUCAUAUAUAAAAAAAUCCACAUAUUACUUAUUUUAUUAAUACAUAAACAGUAAAUCGUUUAGAUGAUUUCAAGUUAAAAAAAUUAUAUAUUUUAGAUUUUAUAUGGAUUCUUUUUAAGUUCAAUAUUCAAAUUAUUCAGAUUUUCCAUCAUCAGAGUUGAAUAGUUUGUAAUUCAAAUUAUUGCUCUCUUUUUACUUGUACCAAUAUUUCCUAUAUUUUUCUUAUGUUAAAAUAGUCAAAGUAUUAAAGAUAUAAUUAAUUGGAGAGAAGUCAAAAGCUAAUUAAUAAUAUAUAGGGAUUGCAUAAAUGUAACAACAAAAAGAAAAAAAAAUCAAAGCUACUUCAUGGUUGUAUUUUGUGAGGCUGAGGAAGUUGAAAGAGUAAUAAUUUUAAGCUGUCUAAUGAAAAUAUUAAACUAAAACUUUAGUAGAGUUUAAUUAUAUAUUAUAUUUUAAUUUUUUAAUAAAAGUACAUAUUUUAAAUCAAAAAUAUUUUAAUCAAAUCAUCUGUAUUAGUUUUGAAGUUCAGGCUUAUAUAUAUAACAUAUAUAUUGAUUGAGUGUAUAACUUCAACUUCAAAAAGAUAUUUUAAUCAAUCAAUUUUAUUAGUUUUCGAGUUUAGGCUUAUAUAUAUAAUAUAUAUGUCGAGUUAGAAAUACUACAAAAGGUUGACAUUUUUUAAAAGUACGAUAAUUUGAAUAGAAGUAACAUAUGCUAAUGUAGAGUAAUUGUUCCAUAUAAUCCUUUUUAUGAUGAAAUGAUUGCUUCAUAACUUCUUACACUUAGACAUAAUAAUGAGGUUUUAAUCUUUUAAGGUAACUUUUAUUUUAUUUACUUAAAAAAUUGCAUAAAUUUAAUAAAAAAAAGAAGAAUAAAAGAAACAUGAAAUUAUACCUGUCAAUUUGUUAUUGCUAAGAUGAAGAAAUUGGAGAGAAGUCAAUUUUUCAAUAACAAGAGGAAUUUCACCUGAAAUGUAUAAUUAAAUCGGUCAAAAUUUGCAAAUAUUUUCCUACCAAACCCUUAAUUUAUUUGUUGAGCAUAUUAACGUUUGUUUCAUUUACCUAUUUUUAAAUAUGCAAGUUUAGUUUAGUCUUAUAGUACUUAUGAUAACCCAAAAAUAUUUUAAUUAUAAUACUCAAAUUAACAAUAAAAUUAAAAAAAAUAUUUAUCUUUGUGCUAGAAAAAAAACACCGCAUAGAUCAUAAAAAGGAAAAACUAAAACAUCCAAAAGAAUAUGUCAAACACUAAACACAAAAUUCAUAGUUGUAGAGGAGAAUUAGAUACAUUGGUCCCAUAAUAUGUCACUCAAAAUCUCAAAUUCAUCCAACAAAAAGAAAUCAUCACUUUAGUUAAUUAAAUCAAGAACAAAUAAAGUUAUGGAUGAACAAAUAUGGGAAGCAAAGAAAUGUGAUGGAUCAAAAGGGACGGAUAAGCUAAUUUCUGCCAUAAGGUAGAUGGUGAACUUAGGAUGUGGAGUUUCAAUAAAUAUCUAAAAAUACCUAAACUUUUGGCAAUUCAAAUAGAUUAUACUAAUUUUUAAUUACUUAAAAAUAUUGCAUAAAUUUAAUAACAAAAAAGAGAAUAAAAGAAACAUGAAAUUAUACCUGUCAAUUUGUUAUUGCUAAGAGAAAGGUAUUGGAGAGAAGUCAAGUUUCCAAUAACAAGAGGAAUUUUACCUCAAACAUAUAAUUAAAUCAAUAAAUAUAUAAUUAUUUUUAUUAAUUAUUUUAAGAGUUUAAUAAGGCAAAUCUAAAAGGUAGAAGAAAUAGCUAAUUAGAAGUAGUGUGUGAUUCAAAAGGGUAUAAAGUAGGUCCAAAUUAAAAAUCAAAUUUUAAAAUAAUUUAAUGUAAAAUUUAACUCUUUUCUUAUCACAAAUAAAUUUACUUUCAGAGAAAUUAGAAGUUUUAAUAAAAUAGUUGAAAUAAGUGAUUGUUUAUGACUAGGUGAAAAUUAGAUGAAAAAAACAUAUAAUUAAUAAUUUAUAUAUCUAUUUCUCUCAUACUAUGAACUAUGGUCGAGCAAAAAUUAGUAAAAAAAUCAAACGGAUAGAAAUAGCUUAGUUAGAAGUUUGCAUAUCUCAUUUUAUUUACUCUCACUAGACAUUUAAUCUUUUAAGGUAACUUUUAUUUUAUUUACUUAAAAAAUUGCAUAAAUUUAAUUAAAAAAAAAGGAGAGUAAAAGAAACAUGGAAUUAUAUUGUCAAUUUGUUAUAGCUAAGAUAAAGUGAUUGGAGAGAAGUUAAGUUUCCAAUAACAAGAGGAAUUUCACUUGAAACGUAUAAUUAAAUCGGUCAAAAUUUGCAAAUAUUUUCCUACCAAGCCCUUAAUUUAUUUGUUGAGCAUAUUAGUGUCUGUUUCAUUUACCUAUUUUUAAAUAUGCAAAUUUAGUUUAGUCUUAUAGUAAUAUGAGUAAUAUUGGGCUCCAACCACAGUACACGGUAAAAAAUGAAAGCCAGAAAAAUGCAAGACUGCAUGUCUACACCAUAUUAUUUUUAUAAAUAAAAGAGUAAUUUCUCUAUAUAAAUAAAUGAGUUGGGUUGGAUUUCAUUUAAUUGAAAAUGAGUUGGAUUGGCUGAUUAUUUGAUUUUGGGUUAAAUGAAAAUCAACUUCUGCCUGGAUGUAGGUAUUGGGUUUAAUGUAACUUAUAUAAAGAGUUUAGUAUGUCGCUUUAUUUGACUUAUUUGGUUUGGACACUCAAAUUUGAAAUUGAUCAAUUAAACCAAUAGAAAUGAGUCUCAACUAAAUAAAGUGAAAACUCAACUAAAUAGAAUUGGAUUAAAGUGAUUCAAUUAAUCAAGUUUUCACAUACUUAUAACCAUCGUGAUUCAUUCAUAUUAUUAUUCUCAUACUAUAUUCAUGUUAAGUUGAUGUAUUUGGAAAGAUCGAAGCUUUUUUCUAUUUUAGGGUGUCUCUUGGAGCACAGGUGAGAUUAUUAAGAUAUUAUAUAUUUUGGGCAAAAUAGUUUGUUUCUUUUCAUAGGGAAGACAUUUCUAGACAAAAAGAACAAAAGUUAGCAGUCGAGAUGUCGGAAAGUUGGAUCAAUCUUUGCACUGAUGGGGCGGUCCAAAUUGCCCUGGGUGAUUCUGAAGCGGGGGAAGUCAAAAGAAAUGGAAAAAGGGAGUGGAUUAUGGGAUACAACAAAAAUCUAGGCAAAUGCUCAGCCUUCAAUGCUGAACUAUGGGUAGUUCUUGAUGGAUUAGCUCUCAUUCACAAAGGGCGCUAUGAUGGUGUAUUGAUACAAACUGAUAGCUUGGAGGUGACUAAAGCCAUUCAGGACUCCUCUCCCUCAAGCUCGAAUUCUACCCUCAUCAGAUGUAUAAAUGUACGUUCAUGGGCCAUUCAACAUUUUCCUAGAGAACAUAAUAAAGUUGCCGAUUGCUUGGCCAAAAUGGCCUUUGAUACGAAUAUGUCACUUUAGUUAAUUAAAUCAAGAACAAAUAAAGUUAUGGAUGAACAAAUAUGGGAAGCAAAGAAAAAUGAUGGAUCAAAAGGGAAGAAUAAGCUAAUUUCUUCCAUAAGGUAGAUGGUGAACUUAGGAUGUGGAGUUCAAAUUAUUGAUAUUUUUCUUAUUCUUAUAUUUUUCUAAUUUUAAAGUAGUUAAAGGAUUAAAUGUGUAAUUAAUUGUUUUAAGUCAAAAGUAUUAUAGUAAUAUAAAAAUAAAAUAUGAGUAUAUAAAGAAAUACUCAAAUUUGUUUCUUAUACUCAAAAUGUUUACACAUAAUACACAAUAAUAUUUAUAACUUUUUUUAAUGAAAUAAUAUUCAAAACUACAACUUUAUUUGGAAGAAAAAUUGGAAAUAAAUAAUAUUUGCUAUACACAUGAAUGAUUAGUAGAGUUUAAUUAUAUAUAUAUAUAUUAUAUUUUAAUAUUUAAUAAAAUUACAUCUUUUAAUUCAAAAAGAUAUUUUAAUCAACCGUUUUUAUUAGUUUUCGAGUUCAGGCUUAUAUAUUUAAUAUAUAUGUCGAGCUAGAAAUAGUACAAAAAGUUGACAUUUUUUGAAAGUACGAUAAUUUGAAUAGAAGUAACAUAUACUAAUGCAGAGUAAUUGUUCCAUAUAAUCCUUUUUAUGAUGAAAUGAUUGCUUAAUUUACUUCGUAACUUCUUACAUUUAGACAUAAUAAUGAGGUUUUAAUCUUUUAAGGCAACUUUUAUUUUAUUUACUUAAAAAUUGCAUAGAUUUAAUAAAAAAAAAAGGAGAAUAAAAGAAACAUGAAAUUAUACCUGUCAAUUUGUUAUAGCUAAGAUAAAGUGAUUGGAGAGAUGUCAAGUUUCCAAUAACAAGAGGAAUUUCACCUGAAAUGUAUAAUUAAAUCGGUCAAAAUUUGUAAAUAUUUUCCUACCAAGCCCUUAAUUUAUUUGUUGAGCAUAUUAGUAUCUGUUUCAUUUACCUAUUUUUAAAUAUGCAAGUUUUGUUUAGUCUUAUAGUACUUAUGAUAACCCAAAAAUAUUUUAAUUAUAAUACUCAAAUUAACAAAAAAAAUAUUUAUCUUUGUGCCAGAAAAAAAACACCGCAUAGAUCAUAAAAAGGAAAAACUAAAACAUCCAAAAAAACACUAAACACAAAAUUCAUAGUUGUAGAGGAGAAUUAGAUACAUUGGUCCCAUAAUAUGUCACUCAAAAUCUAAAAAUCAUCCAACAAAAAGAAAAUCACUUUAGUUAAUUAAAGCAAGAACAAAUAAAGUUAUGGAUGAACAAAUAUGGGAAGCAAAGAAAAAUGAUGGAUCAAAAGGGACGAAUAAGCUAAUUUCGGCCAUAAGGUAGAUGGUGAACUAAGGAUGUGGAGUUCCAAUAAAUACCUAAACAUAACUAAACUUUUGGAAAUUCAAAUAGAUUAUACUAAUUUUUAAUUACUUAAAAAUAUUGCAUAAAUUUAAUAACAAAAAAGAGAAUAAAAGAAACAUGAAAUUAUACCUGUCAAUUUGUUAUUGCCAAGAUAAAGCACUAGAAGAGAAGUCAAGUUUCCAAUAACAAGAGGAAUUUCACCUGAAACAUAUAAUUAAAUAAGUAAAUAUAUAAUUAUUUUUAUUAAUUAUUUUAAGAGUUUAAUAAGGCAAAUCUAAAAGGUAGAAGAAAUAGCUAAUUAGAAGUAGUGUGUGAUUCAAAAGGUAUGAAGUAGGUCCAAAUUAAAAAUCAAAUCUUAAAAUAAUUUAAUGUAAAAUUUAACUCUUUUCUUAUCACUAAAUAAAUUUACUUUCAGAGAAAUUAGAAGUUUUAAUAAAAUAAUUGAAAUAACUGAUUGUUUAUGAGUAGGUGAAAAUUAGAUGAAAAAAAAACAUAUAAUUAAUAAUUUAUAUAUCUAUUUCUCUCAUACUAUGGAUUAUGGUGGAGCAAAAAUUAAUAAAAAAAUAAAACGGAUAGAAAUAGGUUAGUUACAAUUUUAAUGUUAAUUCAAUAUUUUAAAAAAAAAACACACACACAUUGUUUCCAAAAGGGUAAGAAAUAGAUCCAAAUUAUAAUUUAAAAAUCAAAUUUUCAAUAACAAGAGGAAUUUCACCUGAAACAUAUAAUUAAAUCAGUAAAUAUUUGUAAAUAUUUUCCUGGCAAACCCUUAAUUUAUUUGUUGAACAUAUUAGUGUCUGUUUGAUUUUACUAUUUUGAAAUAUGCAAAUUUUGUUUAGUUUUAUAGUACCUAUUUUAAUAAUAUAUACCUGAUAAUAUAUAACAACUAAUAAUUGAACAUGAAAUGAAAGCAACUCUAAAUGCAUGACUUAAGUGAACUUUCUUUAUCCAACAAAGAAUUAACACUUCCAUCUCCAUAAUUUUCAUUAUUUUUUACUCAGAAUCAACGAAAAGAAAAAAAAAAAGAAAAAGGUUAAGGUGAGGAUAGUAAUUACCUUACGAUAAGUAGUGCCAUCGGGUUCAACAGUCCAACCAGCCUCAUUACAAAGAGCUUUGAGAACUUCAUUGUUAUCGCAGUGUUUUGGAAGCUUGUAGUUACCGUACAUCCGAAGUCCAGCGAAGAUCUUCGCAGCAAUAGCUCUCCUCCGCCGUUCUCUCCGCUUGUUGUUCUCUCUCUCUUUCCAUGUCGGCAUCCUCGUCCCCGACGUCAUUUCCAAUCGAAGAAAAACAAACCAAUACUAGAUUUCUUGAAUUUAUAGAAAAAUUAAUUGUUUGGUUAAAAAGAAUAGAAUUUGAGUAAAGGCAAUGAAAAGCAAAAUGAAAGAAAAUGGGUAGGAAAAAGAAAACGAAGAUGAGGUAAAGCUAAGGAAUUUAAGCUGCAACGGAGCCGUUUCAACUGUGAUCGGAGAAAGAAUUUUCCAGUUUCCAACUUUUAGACCGUUGAGUGGAGAGAUAUCAGACGGCAGUGAUUUUAUGGCGGAUGAACCGGUGGGAACGGGUAAAAGGUGAGUUGAUGAGAUCCAGUUAAAGAUGGAUCUGGAUUGGCGGAUCAAUGGCUGGAGCGGAGCAGAAAUCGACCGGGAAAUAUGGUUUUGGGUUUUGCAAAGAGUUGGAAAACCCGGGAAGAAAGAACAAUGAAAACGAUGAAUUGAGUUUGAAGGCUUGAAAUGAAAUUAGUGCUUCUCAAUUAACACUGAUUUGCGAGGUGGUCAGCUAAUACUGCAGUGGUUGGAUAUCUUUGCCCCUUGAUCUCUUUUCUAUUUACAAAUUUGCCACUUAUAAUUCAUAUAUUUUGUUUUAAUAAUAAUAUUAUUAUAAUUUAACAUAGUCAAAUUUGAUAAGUUGUUGAAUUGUUGUUAAAUGUUAAAUACCGACUUAAAUGACUGAUUUUUAUUAAUUUAUUAAAUAUAAAUUAUUAAAAUGAUAAUAUCUAAUAAUUAUUAGUUUGUAAAUUAUUGAAUUAUUGAUUUCAUGUUUAUAAUUUAACAGUGGUAUUACUCGAUUACAUUAAUUUCUUAAUUUUUAUAAGAAUCAAAAUGUGAUCAAUUAAAAUUGAAACGAUGAAAUUCUUAAUUUGACCAUUAAAAUAUUAUGUAAACAACAACUCAAUUAAAUUGUUUAAAAUAUAAAAAAUUAAAAAUAAAUAAAAGAAAUAAAAAGGAAUUGUUCAAUACAAAUUUAACACCUUUUUUAUUUUUUUAAACAAUUUUAUUAUUAAAUACUGUCAAUUUUAUUGAAAAAUUAAGAGUGUAAAUAUAUAAAGAUAAUAGGACUAAUUGCCGUUAAAAAAGAGAGAUAAAACGGAUGAUAUGAGGGACAAAAUAAGGAAAAUAAAGGGAGAGUUCACGCGAUCAACAAUGCAAAGCAACACGUUAAGCGUUACUUUGAUUGCUCUGCAUGACCAACGUGUGACUUUAGCUCGCCACGUGGCCACUGCCUUCGUUGUUGCUUCAGUAACCGUCCCUAUCGAUCACCGUCCAAUAAGAACCGGACUGCAAUACGACACGUUUCGCGAUUCAGCGCACGUGCGAGAUCCCUCUUUAACGACUCCAAAUAUAUUAUUAAUGACUAUUUCUUUAUUCCGCAACCAUUUUAAAAAUUCACUCUUUUUUUAAAAUAUUUUUAAUAUUUCAAGUAAAGAUCUUCAAACGAUUAAUUCGUUAAUCGAACUGAAUUACUAUUAAUUAGAUUAUUUAAAAUAUAAAAAUUUUUAACCGUUAAUUAAAUCGAAAUCUUUUUUAAAUACAUUAAUUGAACCAAAAUAUUUUAAUUAAUUCAAUUAACUGACCGAAUUAACAAAAAUUUAUAUAUUUGUCUUUUGAUUAAAAUAAGUAUAAAACAUAUAGAGAAUACAUUAUUAAUGUUCAUUUUUUUAAUAAUUCAAAAAAUUAUAUUGUAUAUAAUGUAUAUUAUUUUUUCAAUUAAUAUAAAAAAUAAUAGUUCAAAAAAUGCACUACUAAUAUAAAACAUAUAUAACGAAUUAACUGAUAACCAAAAUUUAAAAAAAUCACUAACCAACCUCCAACUGAACUAAAUUCGACAACCAACCAAAUAACCAAAUUAGAUCUAUUCAAUUGAUUGGUUAGAUUUUAACCGAACUAUGAAUACACCAAUAUUCGGGGCUCUUUCAUUGCAUUUUGCUAUCAUUUUGUUUGUCCAAUUAUAAAAAAUCCAAAUAAAUAUAAAAUAAUUUGAUUUAUUAAAAUGGGUAAAUAUUCCAAGAAGUAUUUUACAUAUUUAUAUAUUUAUAUAUUUAUAUUCAUGGUUGAAAAUGUGAUAACUUCAGACGGAAGAUUGAAACCGUUAACAUAGUCAAAGAGCCUUGGAGAGAAUCCAUAGAACAAUCCUACAUGUUGACUUUGCCGAUAUUUAUCAUAAACAGUUGAACAGUUCCAAUCAAAAGUCAAAAGUAUAAACUAAUCAAUGAAAAAGAAGAAGCUGUUCUUCUAACUUGUUACUUUGGAUAAACCAAGUGCUUCACCUUUUGAAUUCCAUCUUCUAGAUUUUGAUUUCUAGAUAACAUAUACAGAUAAAUCACAAGAAUGUAUAAGCAACAUAAAUAUAUUUAAAACGAAAAAAUCUCGGGUUUGAUUAUGGGGUGCCUAACUGUUUACCAGUCGAACUGCUAUUGUAUGCUUGAUCGACCGAAGGACGGAAAACUCGAUUAAAAUGGCUUGAAUGAAUGAUCUGAUAUGGUGGCUAGAUUACUGAGAGAUUUGCAAGCAGUCAACAAAGGAAAUGGGUCAUUUAUUGAAUGUAAAUUACAUACCUACAUCGGUCAUCGGUAUUCUGCUUCGAAAAUUCAUCUUUAGACAUGUGCUUCUCUGCAAAGAACACCUUUCAUGUCACCAGAAAAAGCUAUGCUCGUCUUUCUUGCAAUCAUAUCGAUAAUCUGUAACAUUGAGUCGAACAAAUAAAGGGAAACAGCCAAAAUGAUGAUACUGACAUAGUUACAGCUGAAUUUACCUAUGUCACUCCGACUCUUGACGUUCAUUUUCCCUUGAGUAUUUAUCCAGCACAUAUUCAGACAUGGAUAUGGAGAUAUAAUCCUACAAAUAUAGGGAAAAUUACAAAAGUUAAACAUAUUCAUAUCUUACUUCAGAGUCCGAGUAAGAGGAAUUUACAAUAAGUACCUGUAGGAACAUUUUAGGAGUCUUGGCAUGUGGGUUGACUUAACUUUAUAACCACCUUCAACAAUUGGUUGAUUGAAUCUUUUACCUCAUCCGGAACGGUGAGUUUUGCAGGCACUAAAUCUAAAACAUACAAAGUGAUAACUUUCAUUACAUCAACCAGAAGCAAACUGUUGGUACCGAUUCCCCAUACACUCUUACUAGCAUAUACUCGCACGAAUCCUUUAACAUGCAUCGACUGCAUACCUGAAGAGAUCACCCAUCAGUAAAACAAACAACAUAGGAAGAUUUGUACUCAGUAUAGUAAACAUUGGAAUAAUGGCUUACAGUGUUUUCUUGAAUUUUAAAGAACUUGCGCAAUCUCUUAGCAGCGAAGACAUUAUUUUUAUCAAGGGAAGCGCAACCAAAGAGCACCACUUUUUUCAAGUGACUUCCCGGCAACCAUCUGCAAAUACCAAUAUCGAAGGUUACUACUUUAUUUACAAGAAGCAAAAGGACAGUCAUUGAAGUAAUGAUUCCCCAAAACGAUGGCAAGGAGAUGAGCUAUAUAUAAAAGCAAGAUAUAUUAAGAGAUCAACUGCAUCGGUGUACAUAUGGUUGACCAUAUCAUAUCAAGUCAAAAAUUAUGCUACAAUCAUUGAUUGAUAAAAUCUGUCACACCUGAUUUUUUGUCAAACACAUAGAAACCAACUUUGCACAAUUUUAGUAGAACAUCAUAUAGCUCUGCCAAACAUAUGCUGCUAUUAUGUACUUAAUCACUAACAUUGAUUUUAAGUGAAGGUUCAGUGCAUAUCUGCCAGCUUUGCAAUGCUUGAAUCUAAGACCUUGCAUUCUUACAGCAUGCUAUGGCUAAAUCUCUUGACAAUUUGACUGAAGAAUGCAGAGAAUUUUUAUAAUACCUCUAAAGUUUAUUUGUAUAAGGGGAGGGUUUAGGGUUGUCCAAGGAUGGAACCCAAGAUUGGUAUCAAUUAAAUACUUGAUAUCAAGUCUUUUGCCACUCAACCUAUGGUUCGGUCCAGAUGAAUAUCUCUAAUAUAACUACAUGAAAAAGAGAUGCUUGACUAUACACUUAUGUCUAUGAAUACCAGUAGUUUUGCACAUAUGUAUGCAUCUAUGCACUUAAAUAUGAUUACCCCUGUUUCCCUAGUUUCUGAAUUUCUUUUUUAAGUUUUCCUAUAUACCCUCUUACACCAUAACUAUACAAUAUGGAUAAGCUCAAUUCUUUUUAUAUAUAUAUAUAUCCUAUAUCCUAGCUCGAACUCUAGUACUUAAGGAAAAAUGAACAGUAUAUAACAAUGAAGUAAGAAACUAAUAUUAUCAAUCCACCUAGUUAUUAUGAAUUCAUUUGAAAAAUGCAAAAUAACCAUAAUCUCAAACUCCACUUUCCCCUACAAUGUUAAGAACAACCAAAUAAAACAUCAAGUACAUCAAUCAGCCAACAUGAAUAAAAAACAUUAACAAUUGUCAAACAAUGUCAAAUCCAAAUUAAAAAAGAAAAAAAGGAGAAAACAAAAGUUCUUACUUUGCAAUAUCUUGAUGAUCUUUACCAAAAUUGUAAGCAGCAAACUUGAUAACAUCCCUGCCAUAACUAUUCUCAAAGUAACCAAAAUCCAACUUGUUGUCUUCCACAAAACUAGCCUCCUUAAAAUACCCUUUUGCAUACAAAUGCCUGAUGAAAAUCUCAGCUAACUGUGAAAGACCCUUCAAAGCUCUUACCUUUUCCCUUUCUCUUCUAGCUUUCAUCUUCUUUUUCAUCUUUUCUUCUUUGUUUUCAUCCCCUAUAAACUCAACCAAACACUUGAAUUUCUUGAGUCUUUUCCCAUCUAAUUUCUCUGUUUCUUUCUUUUUCCCUUUUGGGUUUUCUUUGAAAUUCCUAAAUUCUUUCACCGACUCAUUGAUUUCGCCUUUUCUCUGGGUUUCAGUUCCUGCGGGUUUUACUGUUAAAACAGUGUCUCGAAACAACAGAGAAAGUGGGGUUUUGGUUGGUAGCUGGGAAGAGGAAUUAAGGGUUCUUCUGAUUAUGAAUGAUGGUGAAGGACAAAGGGUUUUGUAAAGAGGAUUGUGGAUUUUGAGGAGAACUUUGGUACGCGUAGACAGAAUGAAAGCUUUGAAGAGAUACAUUUUGCAGCGGAAGGGUUUAAGAUUAAAAGGAGGGUCUUUUCUGCAGAGGAGCUUAGGGAUCUUAAAUACACAUCCAUCUUUUUAUUACUUAAAAAAUUACUUAUUUAUUAAUAUUAAUCUAUUUUUGUAACUAAAUUUAAAUAAAAUUUUAUUAAAUAAAUAGCAAUUUAAGCUAAAAUGUUCAAUAAAGCUAGGCGAUUUCAAGUGUUAUUAUUUGAAGGUUUGAUUCUUCAGUUCAAAUUAAAAAAAUCUUUGGGGGUUAGGCGAUUUAUGCUUUAAUUCCCAUAAAAUACCAAUAAAUUUUGCUUAAUUGUAAGCUUAUUUCAUUACUAUGAGAAAACCAAAAACAUUGGUAAGAAGUAUUGAAUCAAUAAAUUAAAAAAAAAUUAAUACAAUACUUUUUACUGGAUUUUUUUAUUAAAAAAAGUCCCUAACUUUUGUAUUUUCUUCAUUGACAAGGGGCUUAUCCAUUGAGAUGGCAAAGUUAGCAACCUUUUGCCCAACAAAAAGGAGGAAAUGAAGGACUCGGAUUCUAGUGUUUCAGCUUGCAUGUUUGAUUCCAGCGAUCGACAAUGGUGUCGAAAUACAAGUCCUGGGAGCCCUUGUUGGAUGGCAACCAAAGUUUUGGAGCCCGGAACUGGAUACAACUUCAAGGCUGAUAUAUGGUUGUUUGGGAUGUUUAGUUGGAGUUGGCUCAUGGUCGUCUGCCCUUGUCGAUAUAUCUGCCAACAAAGGCUCAUGACUGAAUUAUGUUUGACAUAUUUGAAGUUCUCGAAGCCGUUUAAAGACAAGGUUGCAAUGUGGUUGGUGAAAGAUCAAACCAAGAGGCCAACUGUAGAUAAAUUGUUGAAGCACUUGUUUCUCAAGCAUGCAAAGCCUACUCAGCUUGCUUUAAAGAAGCUAUUGGAUACACAUACUUAGACUUCUAGGUGAGUGUCUACUUUAACAUAAGCUUAUUUUGCCACCAAAAGCAAAAUUAUCACAAAGAAAGUGAAACAAAAAGGGGAAAAAAAUUGAUUGUAUAUUUCCAUGUAUUAAGAGUUCAAGAUAACAGAAAAUUAAGGUCUAUUUCAAUCAAGAGAAAUAAGGUACGAAAAAUUGAUCAAGAGUAUCAAAAAGAAUUAUCAAGAGUAAAGGUGUAUCAAGUAUACAAAAUACAUGUUGGUAGAAAAAAGAAUUAUCAAGAGUAAAGCUCUACUUACAGUGGGGAAAGCCAUCCGAGAAAAAAGCAGCUCCAUGUUAGUAAGAAGCUUUCAAAACUGGUGAAGAAUGGAGCUUUUUUAUAUUCAAAAAGAAAAAAUAUAUUGUAUGAAUAAAUCUAUCUGUUCAAUGGCUCUAACUGUACUUCAAUUACUCCAGAACUCUGUGAACCUUUUCGAGCAAAAGCGUCGUUCGGGCUUAAAAGGUCAAUGGAAUCCUCUUCUGCGACGUUGCCGAGAACCCAGUUGCUCCUUCCUUGUAAUCUAUCUCUCUGUUGUCUUUCACGAUACUCCAGAUAAAUUACAGUCAAUGCAGCAAUCAAGAACCAUAUUAUUAAUACCCAGCUAAGAUCGUGGACGUUUUCUACUCUAUAUCUUUCUCCUAAAUGCUUCAUUCCAGUAAAAAGUGCUGCAAUUCCUAUGGCAACGGCACCUCUGCCGAUAAUUACAUGGAAAUACUCCCAAAUUAAUCUCUUUGUGGAAGCAUCCUCCCCAUUAGCAGGUUUCUCCGGUCUGAGAUAUGCAUUCAUUGGUUGCACAGAGGCAAAAACUAUGGCAGCAAUACCAAGCUUAACAUGUAACGAGCUGACAUAGAAACCCCGAAGUUCGGCAACUGCAAAAAGAACACCAAGUAGGAUAAUUGCUAAUCCUGAAUAUUGUAGGUAAAUAUGAAUUUGGUACCAUCCAUCACCCUCUACAUGUUUUAGGUAUCUAGCAGCCAAUAUUCCACCAGGAAUCAAAAUACCCCAGGAGAGGAACAUCAUAAACCCAUGUACAGCUAAGACAGGUUGUAAACCUUGCUCAGCCUCGGAAGAACCACGGAUAAGCAGCACUUGCACAGGCCUUUGACUCGUGACCGUAUGCAUGUUUUUCUCACUGAGAUGUUCAUCAGUCCACUUUGAACCCAUUGCCCAUAUGACUUUAAGAGGAGUUGUAGGAUCAACAAUGUUCUUGCACUCUGGCUUAUCAUUUUGAUUGCAUGAUGGUUUUAAUGGACGUGUGAAUUCCAAAGUAAUGAUGCCAUCUUCUGACUUGCACCUGACAUGUGUCAGAUUCUCAUUUGUUGGAUGGAUGUUCAAGGGACGCUUUCCAUCAAUCGAAUAUGUAUUUAAAUGCCCUUUUCCAGUAUCGCCAAUCCAGCCCACAUAUGCAUAGCUAUUCACCAUCCCAUUACCGAAACCUAUUGCAAGAUAGCCACUCUUCUUCACACCACGGGCAGCAAUAGUUAUUGAAUCUUCUGAUAACGUCCAAAAGAAAGUGACUUGUUGAUCAUCUAAAAGCACACUAUUGUUAUACAUAUCGGACAGGGCACCAUCAACAACUUGAACUUUCCAUCCCAUCUUCUCCUGGUACAAGGAUUGAUAAUACACUUGAUCGGGGGUAUUCCUAUCGGGAACCCAAAUCAAUUCGUGAGGAUUUGCUACAACUCCUUCCGCUUCUGGCCCUCCAGAAUAAAUAGUCUCAGUUGCAUUCCUUGAUGUAGCAUUCCCACCUAGAGAAUCUGAAGUAAUAUACAAUGCAACAUCAUGCCCUGCCUGCACCAAAAACUUAACUGGCACCCCUCUUUCCACUCUCAACACCGGUGCUUCCUUAUUAUUAAUAUACAAAACCUUAGACGGACUUGGCGGAUUUGGAUAAUGCAACACCUCCCCUGUUGUAACAACAAGGGGAACUUCUGUAUCAGCAAUAAUCAACUCUUGAUCCUCAUUAUCAUCAGCAUCCAAUGGCCCAAAACAAUCAUCUACCUUCUUUGAAACAUUAAGCACCAAAUGUCCAUAUGCAACCUUCUCUGGACCCCCAUGAAAUUGGGGUAAAAAAUGAGACCGAUUUUCAUUUGGUGGUUUCAUCAACCCUAAUGCCCAAAUAACCCUCAUAUCCUCAUUAGGAUACACAGGCAAAUCAUACUUCUUAUCUGUCGAAUUCAAUGGUUUCCUAAACAUAAUUAAAGAAACCCCAUCUCUCCUAUGUCCAUAAACCAACCUAGUAUUAUUCACCAUCAUGCCAUUUUUUGAGUUCUCAUAAACUACAUCAGGGCAAACACCUAUAGCUGUCCGAUCUUUAGAACUCAACUUACAUUCACUAUAAGCCGUAAUGUAAAAAUCAUCAACAAAAGGCCUACCUUCCUCAGUAAAACUUGCCACCGUAACAUCAGCUUCGGACAUCAGCUCCUUCGUCCUAUUCGGAUUUGCCCACCCAAAUGCCAUGUAAUAAGUCGUCGGCGCCGCCGCUUCUAACCCGAUCUCGAUCCAAUUUUCCUCCACAUUCAAGUUCCACCGGACCCUAUAAUUAUCCGACAAGUUCUUGCAGUUAUCAAACACUGUAUGCACCGAGUCCGAAAACGAAUCCGACCCGUUUCGAGGGAGGGUGACAUGGCCGAAGUCUGAGGUGCUGGCGAUGUCCCAGAUUGAAAGAACGUUGAUCUGGUCCCAGGUUAUGUCGGGGAGCAAUUGGACUGAAAACGAUACAUUUUUGUAAGCUGUUUGAUUGAGGCGUUGACCGGAGAUGGGGAACCCGCUGGUGAGGUCAGAGAAGUUGAGGGAGACGGCGCCCCAGAAAACGACGUCGGACGAGCCGGAUAACAUGUCGAAUCGGGUGACCUGGAAAGAGCAGCCAUCGAGGAUUUUGAGAUGGCCACGGAGUUGGUGUCGGACCAUUGUGAAGUUCGAUUCGAACCCGAUUAGGGAGCUGGUGUUGGAGCAUUUCUGACCCGAAUCCGCUUUGGAAGAGGCGAUGGAAUUGAUUAGGAAGAGCGGGAUUAGAAGGAAAAUUUUGGAAUUGUACAUUCGAAUCCGGUCGCGGGUGAUUCGACGGUGAUGAACGUUUUAAAGAGAAGGAAGGAGCCAAUGAGCGGCUGGUGGUGGUGAGGGGUGACUCGGUCAGCCGGAGCGAGUCGUCAACUUGUCUCGGUAUUGUUUUUAUAAUUUUAUUUUUUUCCUGCUUUUCUGAAGAGAGGAAACCUGAAUCCCAACUAUCUUCUCGACUAUCAGUUUUUUAAUUUUAAUUUAGUUCAAAUUUUUUAAUUUAGUAGUCCAACUAAUCAAGAUUUUUUUUUUGCCAAUUUCCGUUAAGUAGCGUUAAAUCUCCAAUGAGAGGACAUGACAGUCAAAAUUAAUAUAAUAAUAAAUUUAAUUUUUAAUUUUUAUAUUUUUGUAUCAAUUUAGUCAUUAUUUUAAAAAAAUUAAUCUUUAAAAUUUACAAAUAAUCUCAAUUUGUUCAUCAAAAUUUACCUUUUCUUUCCACUUUCUCCACUACCACUAUCAUCGUUGCCUCCAGUUCCGCCUUCUCCACCUUUCUCCAAAAAAAAAAAUAACCUUUUUCUUUUUUCAAUCAUGUUCAAAUUUAAGGUAUUAUAAUUUAUUUUGUGUUAAGUUAGAUGAAGCCUAAGCAAUUUAAAUAUAUGUGCUACUAUUUAACAAUAAAUUAGGUUGAAAUAGAAAGAGGAAAGGUAAGUUUUUUUCUGGGAAGAAAGGUGGAGGUGGAGGUAAUGAUGGCAAUCGCACGUGGUGAAGUAGAAGAGAAAAGUAAAUUUUGAGGAUCAAAUUGAAACUAUUUGUAAAAUUUGAGAGUUAAUUAUUUUAAAAUUUUGACUAAAACAAUAUAAGAUAUAAAAUUUGAGAGCUAGAUUUAUAAUUUUACUCAUUUUUUAACUACCAUAUUACCCUCCAUAGAGAUUUAAAGAAACGGAAAAAAAAAUCUCAAUUAGUUGAGUGACCAAAUUAAAAAAAAUUGAUAAUUAGGUAACUAAAAAAAGAAAAAGAAAAAUUGAUAAUUGUUCAUCUAUAGUGUAUAGAACUUAUGCACCAACAAUGCAUUAAAUAUUCUCAUUAAAAGAAAAUGUAUAAAAUAAGUUUUAUACUAUAUAUAAUUUGUAAAAAAAAAUUUCAAUAAAAAAUAAAAAAAUACAUCUAUAAACUCACAAAAAGAAUUACGUAUCUAUAAUAUCUUUUUAUAAAUUCAAUUCCAAAUCUCCUGUAAUAAAUCAACCCCACAAAUCUGAUUGAGGUUAAAAACAAAGAAUGCAUGUAUUGUGCAAUUAAAACUAUGAUCCAUUUUCAAUUCUAAAGUAUUGAACAUAUAAUUUUGCAUUAUUUCACAAACUCUUUGCAAUAAAUUAACCAUCUAUUCCUUAUUUCAAUUUUAUUAAAAAGCUAGGUUCCCAUAAAGACAGUCUUUACAACUCAGUGCACCUAUCAUAAACACAUCAGGGAACAUUGCCAUGAGAGAGGACCUAAGAAAACAUAAUACAAAGCACCCACACAAAAUGUUUAUUAAACAGCUACUGAAAAAGGCCUGCAUACCACCAAGCAAUGAAGUUUUCUGUUCUGUUUGCAACUUGUUGAACUCGCCCAAGUGUUGCCUUCUCUACCUUUUUGCAAAUCUUCGUCGGACUCGCUCCACGAUCCUAAUCAACCACCAUGGUUUUCCAGUCGUGAAUACAAUGUAUGCCAUGCUCAUUCCCAGCACCAACCCACAUCCAUACCCCAUCAAUAUUGAAAAUUUCCAAUUCAAUUCAUCACCAUCAUCAUCUCUAUCAAAUUUCGCUGGAGUUUCCUCAUCAGUACCACAGUUUUUUGAUAAUGGAAAACCACAUAAAUCCGAAUUUCCCAUGUAGGAAUCUUUAGUAAAAGUAUCAAAUUGUUUGCCUUGAGGAAUGGGUCCCUUGAGAUUAUUUUGAGAAAGGUUUAACACCUCUAAGAAUCCAAGACUUUUUAACUCUGUUGGAAUUCUUCCUUCCAGCUUAUUUGAUGAGAGAUCUAAUGAUUCAAGCUCUGGCAAAUUACCUAAAGAUGAUGGGAUAGGACCUACUAAACAGUUAUGGGAGAGGUUUAGGACAAUAAGUAAAUGAAGCUCACCAAGUAUUUUUGGAAUUUCUCCCCUGAAUUGGUUACUAGAAAGGUCAAUAACCGUCCAAAUGGAUAAUAGUAAUUCAAACUUUAUUUCCACUCCUUUUGCUGUAACAGAUAAACCAUAAG